GAUAUCAUAUGGACUGAGACAUGGAUUAUAAUCAUUCUCUCUGUCCAUUUGUUGUUUCCCGAUUUCCGAUUUAUGACGACUGACUAAUUGAACAAAUCAAAUCAGUCCUGGCCCGGCCGAGCACUUCCAUUUGUCAUCAUCAAAUCAUCGAGGGGCCCACAGAUAUCGCUUUUAUCCCGAAGGUAAAAGGAACGGAUAAACUUCGACUCAUAUGGCUUGUUCUACUACUUGUUGAAUCAUACACAAAGGCACGUUUUAUAGCACCGAGUUACCAAAUGCGUUUUCGUGCAAUCAAUGUACUAUCAACUCAUAGUAACAACUCAUAUCUCUAGGUUUGAAGAAUAUAAGAUAUUAUCGUCUCAUGAUCACUCGUGAUAAAAUCCAUGAAGUGAUUCCAAUGAGCGCGGGUUGAAUCCAAUACUCAGAACUUAUGAGCACUCAUGAGUGUUGUAGCCUUGUCCAACACCUUAGACCUCUACAACCCAUCAUGACAGUCUUAAUUCAUAUCUACUUCCAACAUAUGACCGACUGUGGAUGGUUUGAAUAACUUAGUCAUUCCGGAAGAAUAACCCAGUUUAUUCGGGAAGUCAAAACAUGCAAAGUGAAACACAAUAAUAAUUGAAUCCAAUAUGGUAUCAACCCUUUGAACAUAAAUAAAACACCUUUUAUUUAUCACCAUAUGAUUACACAUUAUUCAUUGUAUACUGUUUCAGCUAUCAACUUUAUUCUUGAAUUUAAAACAAUAGUUGUCCCAUGCUCCAAGCAUGUACACUAUGUUUUCUUAAACACUAGUCAUGCCACACACCAAGUAUGCAUACUAUGUUUGUCUAUGAUCUUUACUUUGUGAACUAGAUCAAUUGAACAUAACUUCAAUGAUUCUCUUUUCACACUCCCAAAUCCUUACUGCAAAUGCAAGAAUUCCAAAUUCAUGCCAUUUACUGAAAUCUGUUAGAUUCUAAACUUAUAUGCAUUGAUCCUCUUGUAAUGAUUAUGCACAAAGUCAGAAAGACUUGACAACAAUCAUUACAGAGUAUUCCAAAGGAGAUCAGCUCCUUGGAAACAUCCUUCUUGCAUUAAGUUUCCUAAUCUUAAACAGAUUGAAAAUUCUAACUUUGAAACAUUUCCAGAUUCCAUUUUGACUAUCACUUCUGAACAAGAGUUGCCUCCUUACAGAUUAUGUCAAUAUGGUCCUUCCAGAAUUAAUACUAUACUUCCAACUGUCCUUGAGCAACCAAUCUUUGGUACACCUUAGAUUCAUCGACAAUUGCUUAACCACUUUAGUCAUAUCCAAUUCUAGACCUUUUCCAUCCUUAAUGCCCCAGGCAUUUGGAAAAUUUUAGAAAGGAUGAAUAUAGCACAUGUAAUCGAUGCUAUAUCCGAAGCAUAUUGGACACGAUUCAUGAUGUCUCACAUAAUGACUAAGCCAGUCUUUUACUAUAAUAUUUCCAUUUCAAUUUGCCAAGUUCUCAUAAUUUAAGAUUAUGAAAAGGGAUGUCGUAAUCAUAAUCGAAUUUGAGAACGCAAAUAAUGAACCCAUAUAUAGAAUUUCCUUAUGUUGAGCCAUUCCAACAUGAUAUUCAUAUAUAUUCUUGACUAAAUACGAUUAAAACCUCAAUCUAAGCUUUUAGAUUUGAGAUGAAGUAUAAUUUCCUCUCCCUUAAUUAUAGCAAAANUGAACAUAAAUAAAACACCUUUUAUUUAUCACCAUAUGAUUACACAUUAUUCAUUGUAUACUGUUUCAAAUUAUCAACUUUAUACUUGAAUUAAAACAAUAGUAGUCCCAUGCUCCAAGCAUGUACACUAUGUUUUCUAAACACUUGUCAUGCCACACACCAAGUAUGCAUACUAUGUUUGUCUAUGAUCUUUAAUUUGUGAAAUAGAUCAAUUGAACAUAACUCCAAUGAUCCUCUUUUCACAGUCCCAAAUCCUUAUUGCAAAUGCACGAAUUCCAAAUUCAUGCCAUUUACUGAAAUCUGUUAGAUUCUAAACUUAUAUGCAUUGAUACUCUUGUAAUGAAUAUGCACAAAGUCCCAAAGACCUGACAACAAAUAUUACAGAGCAUUCCAAAGGAGAUCAACUCCUUGGAAACAUCCUUCUUGCAUUAAGUUUCCUAAUCUUACAUAGAUUGAAUAAUUUCUAUCUUUGAAACAUUUCCAUAUUCCAUUUUGACUAUCACUUCUGAUCAAGAGUUGCCUCCUUACAGAUUAUGUCAAUAUGGUCCUUCCAACAAUUAACACUAUACUUCCAACUGUCCUUGAGCAACCAAUCUUUGGUAAACCUUAGAUUGUCCUCGACAAUUGUUUAAUCCUUUUAGUCAUAUCCAGUUCUAAACCUUUUCCCUUCUUAAUGCCCCAGGCAUUUGGAAAAUUUUAGAACGGAUGAAUAUAGCACAUGUAAUCGAUCCUAUAUCCGAAGCAUAUGGGACACGAUUCAUGAUGUCUCACAUAAAGACUAAACCAGUCUUUUGCUAUAAUAUUUCCAUUUCAAUUUGCCAAGUUCUCAUAAUUCAGAUUAUGAAAAGGGAUGCCGUAAUCAUAAUCGAAUUUUAGAACGCAAAUAAUGGACCCAUAUAUAGAAUUUUCUUAUGUUGAGCCAUUCCAACAUAACAUUCAUAUAUAUACUUGACUAAAUUUGAUUAAAAUCUCACGAUCUAAGCUUUUAGAAUUGAGAUGAAGUAUAAUUUCCUCUCCCUUAAUUAUAGCAAAACAACUUUUUCCCAAUUGAAAACUUUUGUUUUCUAUAAUUAACAUUGCUAACUUGCAAUACUUAUCAUAAUUAUCAUGCUCCCACUAACAUGAUGAUUAUUAGCAUAACACUUAUGCUCCCACUAGCUUUGACAUGUACUCAGAAAUCAGCUGGACUUCUAGAAAUCAAUACUUUAUUGACUUUCUUACCAAAGUUCAGAUUUCUGAUACUAGAUUGUUUUGAUAAAACUUUAUCAAAAUCAUACACCUUCCCUUAGAUAGCACACUUGUGUAUCUAAACAAUUAUGAAGAGGGAUGCCGUAAUCAUAAUGUUUAGACCCCUUUGCCACUUCUCACAAGUCCAUGUUAGUGUGCCGGUUAACCACACAAGCUCCACUACUGACUUUGAGAAUGCAAAUAUCACAAUUGCUAUCUACUUCAAAUCUACUUAUUGGAAGUCUUUCCUCACCAUCAUUUUCAUGAAUCGGAGAUAAACCUUAUGACACUUAGAUUUUAUGGUGUAUGUGUUCUUAUCCAUGUGAAUUUGUCAAACCAUAAUCACAAGACUAGGUUAGUGACAAAUCCUAACUCAUAUGGAUUGAACUUUUGCAAUCUUACAUUCUUGCCACAUGGCAGCUAAAGGGCCUGCCAUUGCUUCCAAGUUGCCAUGCAACCAAUUGAGAACUCUAAGAACUCAUAUGCAAAGCCAUCUUUAAUUGGAAUGGGCAUAGAAUGUGACAACACGAUAGGUUAUACACCUCAAUUCGUGUGCUAGUGAAGAACUUCAGGUUUUAUUCUUGAUUAGUUCUUGAGACUUUCAAGACCUUUAAGACUCCCACUGUCCUCUUGACAUAUAAGACUUUCUUGUCAAAUAUUCAAGAGAUAGUGUGGAUUCUAAUCAAGACAGACACUUCACACAAUUGGCCUUAUUUGGUCUUUGUUUUAUCCAAAACAUCACAACUUACCAAUUUCAAAUGUACAAGAGUAGAAAACUUUUACUCUUACAUUUCACAUGUGUUUUAAACCUUCUCUAAGAUAUGUCACUCAAGUUACAAUCUUGGAGUAUGAAUCUAAGACUUGUAUUGGAACGAAGUAUGACUCAGUUUCUUGAUUUAACCGUUUCAACAAUUCAAGAUUCCUAUUCUUAGUCAUAAGAAUGACCUAAGAUUUCCUUAGAGAACUAAUUGUGCUAUGGUUUCUUAAUCAUUAAUAUGAUCACAAAAAUUGAUACUAAGUACUCUCCCAUCUUUUCAGAUUUGAGAAACUUUUAUCCUUCUGCCUAAUUUGAUUCUUCUUAUCGAUCUUUUGUGGUGGACUUAAUCAGUGCACAAGAAUGUGUACUCGAUCCCUUAGUCCUUUACUUGACUCACACAUCCAUGUGAACAAGUAAUUAGUCUUAAUUUUCCAAUACUUGAAAGUUCUCAUUCAUCAUGCUAUACAACUUGCAUGAUUCCAAGUUUCGGUCCAAUUGAAACUUGGGUGAUGAGAAUCUUUCCUUAUUUGGUAAAUUUAGACAUUACCACAAAUGAAAGAAUCAAAUUCACUUUCCAAUAUUGCUAUCAAUGGAAUCUUAUAAGCAACAAUUUUCCACAAACGCCAUUGUAAGGAUAGAUAAAAUAAAUAAAAUAAAAAUUUUCCUUUUAUUUUAAAACUUUUCAGAAAAACUUAUCCUUACAAUCCAUAUGAAAACUUGUUAUUAUCUAUUCCUAAGCAAUAUCUCAUAACUCCUAAGAAGUAGCCCAAGAUUCGAUCUUCAAACUAUGCGAUAGAAAUCCAUCUACGCGAUCAGAUUCAACAUAUUCUUUCUUUAAUUUCCUUCACUUUUCUUUGAUUCUUAAAACAUCACCAUGUGACCCAGUCACAUCAUGUAUCAAGAAUCUCAGAAUAGAAACUUAACAGAGUUAGAUAGUGGACUUUACCUGAAGUAGAGUCAAACUUAUUGACUUUAACAUCCUUAGGUAAAUUUGGCAGCUUCGCAACCAAUGCCCCUUCCUUUGGCAAUAUAAACAUAUGGACCCUUUGAUAAUGGUACACGGGACUAUCACAGACUUAGCUUUUCUCUUUACCAUUUGGUCAACCGAGUUGACUAUGGCCGAUCCCUUUCCAUUGGGAAGAGAAUGCUUUUCUGGAUUUCCUGUGUCACUAUUGUCAAUGUCCAUCAAGUUUUAAGGAAGUUGAUCUUAACAAAUAGAUAAGAUCAUUAAGGGUCUUGUCAUAGUCUGUUUCAUAGGUGUCCCAAAGGAACUCACUAUGUGACUUAGAAAGUGAUUGAACCACCAACUUUCUCAAGACUUUGACACCCAACUCUCCCGGCUUGUCAAUAUGUGACUACAUCUCCAAGAUGUGAUCACACCUAGACCUUGCCUUGCCAAUAGGGCUUGAGUGACCUUAAACUUUUCAAGAACUUGUGGGUUAGGGAGAAUAAUUGGAGGAGGUGAAAGAAGUAUGAUUUCCAUGGGACAUCAUCUUCAUUUAGGAAAGCUUGUUUCAAGAGAUUUGGGAAGAUCAUAGAUGUCUAAACCAGACAUCUUUUGGGAGAUAUUCAAGAUAGUUGAUUUAAAGUCCUUAAUAUGACACCCAAUAUGAAAUAUUAAGGCUAGGACCCAACAAACUAUUUUAUAACUUAGAAGAGGUAUGCCGUAAUCCAAGCUAUAAAAUAUUUGAAGGUAGGUGAAUGACGAUUCACCAAUUUCCACCAAGAUAAACGAAAUGUAUUAUUAGGUUUUAAUUGGUUUUGAAACUCCUAGAUCUUUGAGAUUCAUUGAACUGUUCAAUGGCAUGUUUCAAUCUCGAGUGUGCCCUUCAGGUUUUGUGACUGGGAUGCCGAGGAUCACAAAACAAGGUGUGAAGUAACCAUGCAAAUUACUUGGUACCCUUAAGUGUUUACCCCUCAAUCGAUGUGCCGGUUAACCACACACGCUCCAUCGAUACUAUGAUAAACAUUAAGUUACCCUUUGCCUACCUUGUUAAAUACGAGUUAGUGUGCCGGUUAACCACACACGCUCCACUAACCGACUUAAACAAAGUGCAAAGUGUAAUUUCAUGGAUUAGCACCUUAUUCACAUUUUCCUAAGUAACUAAGAUUGGGUAUUUAUAAAAGGUUUAGUUACUUAGUAUUUAUCAUUAAUACUUUUAAUGAAGGGAGAAUUCUAGUCCUUGUCCUACCCGUUCGGCUAACGACCCUCCACCGGUCAAGGAAGCGGUGGGUGAAAGUGGACACCCAUUAAACUGCCAUUUUAUAGGCAGUAACCUUAUACCCCCUUAUAGACCGGCAUCGUGAAUGAGGCCUACUAACGGUAAGACUGGCUUUACUCUUAUACAUAUAUAUAAAUAUUAUUAACUUAUAAUAUUAUAAAUAUAAGGGUUGAAUUUUAACUUUUAAAAUUCUAAGGGCUAACUUGGAAUUAAAGUAUUCAUAAGUGAAAACUUUGCAAAUUCCAAAACUUGAGGGCGAGUUUUGAAACUUUUCAAAACUAAUUAGUUCCAUAACUUAUGUGUUUAAAGUAGUUUUAAUCCAAAAACUCUUCAAGUUCCAUAACUUGAGGACAAGUUAUGGAAGGCUUUAAACUAAUAAAAGAAUGUAACUUUUCUUUAUUUUGUAACUUAUGGAAUUAAUUAAGGUUACACAUUUUAUUACUUAAUGAAGUGACUCUUGAACGUCCAUAACUUGAGGACAAGACUCUUCAUUUUUGUAACCAUUGCCAACUUUUAUGAGUUUUAAGAAACUUAAAUAUGACCCUUCAUGUAACUUGAGGACAAGUUACACAAACACAUUUUAGAAUCAUCUCUUAGAUUAAAAUGGAUUGAAAACAUAUAAUCAAUUAACUUAUCUAUUAAUCUAAGCAACUCAUAUGAACAAAGAUAAUUCACAUCAAACUUUUUCAUGUAAUUAGCAUAACUUUUAAACUAAUACAAAACAUGAAUCUAUUGACAAUUAUCUUUGAAAUUGGAUUAUUUAUGAACAUUACCGCAUCAAAAACAAGUUCAUAAGAUCAAAAACAGCUUAGGGUUAUAUUCCUAGUCCAAUUCCAGCCAAAACAGCAAACGGCAAGCUGUCAGCACCCAAAACUCUUCGAGUUUCAUCGAGUUCAUGCCCAAAAUGAUGUACUCAUCGAGUUUUUGGCAUAAAGUCAUAAAGUUUUAUGGUCUGGACAGAUUCAACUUUGAAAAAAAAACAAAUUUGCAUCAAGUAUAAGAGAAAGCAAGCCUAGGCUAUGAUACCACUGUUGGGUUUUGAGCAUUCUACACUCCUAAGUGUACAUGCAACCCUACAUACCUUAGAUCUAUGUUUUCUCUAUUAUACAUGCAAAUAUGAACUUUCGAAGGUAUUCAUCCUAACUAGCAUAAUAACAUUGAUUCAUAUGAAUAUAUCAAGUUAGAAUUACAUACCUCUUUGAUGUAGAAUGUCUUCAUGAAGCUUGAGUGCCUAGUGCCCCAAGUGUGACACCUCAAAUGGUUCACACAACACCAAAUACAGUUGGAAUAGAUUAGAGAGAAAUCCACACUUCAUAAAAUCGGCUAGCCCUUUCACAUAUAUUCUAGUGCCGAUUUUGUCACCAAUAAGAUCUUUAUAUAGUGUUACAAUUAGGGUAAACCCUAAUUGUCAUGGCUUUCCAUUUCAUUGGAUCCAUGGGUUGAAAUGCACCAUGGAGCAUCCUAUGGGUUUUAGCCCAACUUGAUAAUCCAUGGAGCAUUAGCCCACUAUACAAGUAUGGAUGAUUUACAUAAUCAACCCAUAUAUUUAAUUAGUCUUCUUUUGAUCACUUAAUUAAUCCUAGAUUAAUUCUUGAUCAAUACUAAUUAAAUAAUCUUAUUAAUAUAUUAGAACUUAUAAUAUAUUAACAAACCUUAAGUGUUAUUUCUCUCAUUAUAGUCUAUCCAAAUUCAUGAUGCCAUGCAACCCAAAUGGACAAUGCCGCGUCGGGUCAACUCUUACCAAUUAUAGUUAUGGACUUAGACAUUAAUCCAACACAGAGAACACUUCAUAUGGACUUAUAAGACCUUAAAUCACAACUUGGCACUUAGUACCAUGAGUUUACGACUGUAAACUCAUGAGGAAAUGGUCCUUGGGCCGUAAACUCAUGUGGUUCAUACCAUAUGGACCAUAAACUCCCAACUGAGGCCCUACACCCCUUAUAUGCAAUCCUAAGUGGUUUAACACUUCAAUACAAGUGUUUCCUAUUCCCUAAGGUUGUUCAAUUACCUACUUAGUUGUUAUAAACACUAAUUGUAAGCAUAUAUGUGUCAUUAUAUGUUAAAUAGGAUCCGUGUGUGCUCAAGUCCUCACUUGACACUUAGAAUCCUUUACCGAUCUUAUAUUCGCAUCACUCACCUCAGGUGAGUUCAUACCCCAUAAAAUUAUCUUUUAAAUGCUUUUAUGGGGGGGGGGGAUACAAGUAGAAAACAUGCUAGUUAUAAGAUCAAUCACAUGUGACNCACAUGUAAUUUAUAACUGUGUUUCAAUCAAGGAUUUCAUAUACUUCAAACUGUGUUUCAAAACAAACUACUUUUAAAUUGUGUUAUAAACUGACAUCAAGUCAUUAUUUAUUUAUUGUUCGAAACUCUUUAAAUGUAUUACAAAACCUAUUUUUAACUUAUAUAUACUGUCAAAAGCGUGUAUAUUUAUGUAUAGUUAUAUACAUAAUGUUUAAAGGACUUAGGACUGCUAGCUCGCUUCAUUUCAUUUUCCUUGUUUGGAUGUCGACUUAGGUACCGGCCAGUUGUCUGAAGGUCAUCUAAAUAUUAGAUAUAAUUAUGUAUACAUAUGUAGACAUAAAAUUUCUAUUCAAUCAGUUCAGUACCUUUGGGUAGCAAGGGUAUACAUUCAUCUAUUCAUAUACAUAGCUUACUAGUAAACUAUAAUAGGUAUGGCUUAGGAGAAUACUAUCAUAUACAAGUGCUAUAACAGAGAAUACUAUAACAGAGAGUACUAGAUAGAGAAUACUAUAACAGAGAAUACUAUACAAAGGAUACUAUACAAAGGAUACUAUACAAAGGAUACUAUACAGAGAAUACUAUUACUAUAACAAGUAUACUAUAACAAGAUUCAGAGAUAACAUAAUGUGAGAUACCACUUCGUGACACAUCGACGAUUUCGUUAUCUCUCAUUUUGUAACCAGAAUCUCCUAGAGGGAGAGCGUGAGUUUGCGUAUAGAUCUAUACUGGAUUGACUAUCCUACACCUUUGCUGUUCGCUACAGUGGGACUUGCAAGUCUACGGGUGCUAAAUGUCAUUUCUUCCGAUGUCUUUCAUCGUCGUGUUAUAGUCAGAUUAGUAUGGUAACAAUCGUAUCACAUUUUCCUUAAUUAAACCAUUGGUUUUAAGGUAGUUAUUACUUCAGUGAUUAAUGCAAAUGAUACUGCAGUACACAUAUACAUUUUCCCAUUAUAUUAAAACUGUGAUCUUCUCACAUAAAGGGUAAUAUAAAACUAUAUUUUGGUAAUGAUAGUCAUACUUGGGAAAAGCUUUCACUUUUACAAGGAGACAAACAUACAAAACAGUCGGGUCUUGGUAGAAGACUACUUUUUAUACUAGUAGAAAAUAUAGGAUUUUCUAGGAGUUUUCAAACAUAUAUAAACAUUUACAUUGUUCAAUUACAAACAUUUUAAUCAAACUUAUACAAACAUUGACACUAAAUACUUAUGAACUCACCAGCUUUAAUGCUGAUCUAUGCUUUCAAAAUAACUUGUAUUCUCAGGUCACUAGUAGACAUGUACCAAUGAUCAGGUUUUGAGAAGACGGAGCAUCUUCAAGACUCGUCUUUUAUUUUGAUUAUUCUUUUUGGUGUCUUAUUACUAUUAAAGAACACACUUGUAUGAAAUUAUACUAUUAAUGCAAUGGAUGAUGUUGUUUUUCUUAUUUACUACUUUGCAUUGUUAUGAUACUGUACACGACGUCCUCCGCCCCAGAACGUUUCCGCCGUUCUUGGUUUUGGGGUGUGACAGAUUGGUAUCCGAGCAUUGUUUAUAGUGAAUCGAGUAUAUCAACCCAUAAAAGAUAUACUAACUUUAAAUACAUUGGGAUUAAAAUACUCUGACCAGGAGUUUAUACUUUUAAGUACUAAAAUACAUAACAAGAAGUAUACCUAAUUACAUACCUACAUACUUACUAAAGAUCAGUGUCAUACUUGAACAUAAAAAAAGUAUUACAAUUUUUGAACAUCACAAGUGAGCUCUGGGAUGUAUGGUCAGUCCUGGGAAUGACAUAGCCUGAUCAACUAUGCUGGUCCGAGAAGUGAUUAGCAUAUGCCGAGAAUGGUUGUGAUGUAUCAACAAGAAUAAGAACUUACCAACACCACUGUAGCUAGCAACACGGUGCGGGGUAGUCAGUCCCGUAUAGAUCUGUACACAAAAGUCACGUUCUCCCUCCAGGAGAUUCUGGUUAUAGGGUUAGUCGUACACUCUCGAAUCUGGGGAAGUGUUACCAAGGACAGUCUCCAAUCUUAAGAAUAACGAAUUUACAAGUAAUAAUAUGGAAAAUCCCGUUUUAUGAUUGGCAUGAAUCCUUUGUAAAAUAUAAAAUAUAACAUUUUAUGAUAAGCUUUUCAAGUUUCCUUGUUUUAGAUUUGAAAACUAACUUUAGAAGUUAAUUUCUUAUUUGAUUGGUUAAACGGUUUUCUGUGUUAAAAGCAUGUUGAACAUGUAAACAUUUCAUAAGAAAUAAGAAGUUUUGAGUACAAUUUCCAUUGUACUUUUGCUUGUAUUCCCCCCUGAAAACAUUAAAAACUCGGAAAAAGGUAGGGGUAUGAACUCAACUGACGUGAGCGUGCCGGGUUAGGACGCUAGGUAUUAAUUUAGGACUUGAACACACGCGAGGGUCCUAGGUAACAGAAAGUUAUACAUAAUUGUAUCUAAUUAGUCAUUAAACCACUAAUUAAGCACGUAAAUACAUUCUAACGCGAGGAAAAACUUUAUUUCAAGUGUUAGGAAUGGUAUGGGUUGCAUCUAAGGAGUGUAUGGUCUCGUUAAGGAGUUUAAUCUUCAAGUGUAAUCCCUUAGGGGGUGUUUACGGUUUCAAGACCAUAUCCCCAUGAGUUUAUGGCCGUAAACUCAUGGGAGUGGUGUUAUUGGUUGCUCAAAGGUCUUAUGCUUCACAAAGAAAGGUCCUAGGGUUGAAUCAAAGGUCAUGAAAGUGUUUGGGGCUUGAAAUGGACCCUUUAUGGAGUUUACGGUUUCUGAACUACUCCUUGGGGAGUUUACGGUCGUAAACUCAUGAGUUUAUGGCCGUAAACUCAUGUUUUUCCAUUUUUCAUGUGUUUUGGUGGUUAUAGGUUAAGCAUGAAAAGUUCUAGACCCAAAUAUAAGCCAUACAAGGUGUUAAGGGCACUUAAACACCCUUUGGAGGUGUUUACGGUUUUGGGAGAUUCCUAAACCGUAAACUCAUGUUUACUCCCUUAAAUUCAUGUUUUGUGGUUCUUAGAUCAUUCAUGCAAGUCUUGAGGUCAUAAGCUAAUCAUUGGAAAGGUUUUGGAAGGGUUUUGGGGCAUAAAAACCCGCUUUUAGGGUGUUUACGGUUUUGGGAUGUUCCCAAACUGUAAACACAUGUUCUUGGUGUUUUUGAAUGAUUAAACCAAGGAUUUUCAAGUAUUCGGGUCCCCUCUUUGCAUUCCAGCGAACCUUCACUAUUAGGAUGCGGCUUUGUUUCGUUCGUUUGAUCUCCCGAUCCAUGAUUUCGAUUGCUUCUUCCACGAAGUUCAGAUUUUCAUUAAUCUCGAUCUCAUCAAGAGGGAUUACAAGGGUUUCAUCAGAUAGACACUUUUUAAGAUUAGAGACGUGGAAGACAGGGUGGAUGUUGCUAAGCUCUUGAGGUAAUCAGAGUUUGUAGGCUACGAGACCAAUCCUAGCAAGGAUCUCGAAAGGUCCUAUGUACCUUGGGUUCAAUUUCCCAUGCUUUCCAAAGCGUACCAUGCCUUUCCAGGGCGAGACCUUCAACAGGACACGAUCUCCAACCUGGAAUUCCAAAGUUUUUCGUUGUUUAUCGGCGUAGCUCUUUUGUCUGUCUCGUGAAGCUUUCAGUCGUUCUCAGAUUUGAAUGAUCUUUCCGGUGGUUUCGCAGAUGAUUUUAGGACCAGUGAGAGCACUGUCGGGGACUCGACCCUUAGCUAGAUACGUGUCCCCUACCUCGGCCCAGCACAGAGGGGAUCUGCACUUGCGACCGUAGAGGGCUUCGAACGGGGCAGCCUUGAUACUGGUGUGGUAACUGUUGUUGUACGAGAACUCGAUCAAGGGUAAAUGAGUUUCCCAUGACUUUCCGAAAUCGAUGACACAUACUCUUAACAUUUCUUCCAAGGUUUGGAUAGUUCUCUCACUCUACCCAUGUAAAUGAGGAUGAUAAGAUGUACUCAUAUCCAUCUUAGUUCCAAGAGCUUUCUGAAGGGACUACCAAAAUCUCGAGGUAAACCUGCUAUCUCGGUCGGAGAUAAUGGACACAGGUACACCAUGUAGUCAGACCACUUCUUGAAUGUAGAUUCGCGUGAGUCUUUCCAUCUUGAAUAUUCCUUUGAUCGGUAGGAAGUGAGCGGAUUUUGUCAAUUGAUUGACAAUUACCCAAAUGGUAUCGUACCCACUCGGAGAUUUGGGUAAUUUGGUAUUGAAAUCCAUAGUAAUCAUCUCCCAUUUCCACUCAUGUAUCUCGAGCUGUUGGAGCAGACCUGAGGACAUCUGAUAUUCGACCUUCACCUUGGCGCAAGUCAGACACUUGCCCAUAAAGGUAGCGAUUUCGGCUUUCAUGUUUGGCCACCAGUAUAGUUUCUUGAGAUCUAGGUACAUCUUAUCCGAACCUAGGUGAAUGGAGUAUAUGGUCUUGUGAGCUUCGUUCAUGACAACCUUCCUGAAACCUCUGAACUUUGGGGUCUAGAUUCGAUCCAUGAAACAAUAGACUCCAUCACCUCUGAUCUCAAGAUUCUUAUCCAUUCCCCUCAAGGCUUCAUUCAACACCUUCUCUGGUUUUAGAGCUUCCAACUGAGCAUCUCGGAUUUGUGCGGAUAAGUGGGAAUGGAUGGUCAUUGUCAGUGUUUUUGCCUUGUUGCCUGAGCUUUCCUUCCGGCUAAGGGCAUCUGCCACCACAUUGGCCUUGCCAGGAUGGCAGCGGAUUUCGCACUCAUAGUCACUGAGCAGCUCUACCCAUCGCCGUUGUCUCAUGUUUAAGUCGUUCUGAUCGAAGAUGUGUUGUAGGAUUUUAUGGUCCAUGAAGAUCGUGCACUUGGUCCUAUAAAGGUAAUGUCUCCAAAUCUUCAGUGCGAAGACUACUGCUCCUAACUCCAGGUCGUGAGUUGUAUAGUUGACUUCGUGUGCCUUCAGCUGUCUUGAGGCAUAAGCAAUAACUUUUCUCCUCUGCAUAAGCACACAACCUAAGCCCUGAUUGGACGCAUCACAGUAGACAACGAAGUCCUCCAUCCCUUCGGGCAGGGACAAGAUAGGUGCGCUGCACAAGGCUUGCUUCAACGUUUGGAAUGCAGCGCCUUGCUUUUCAUUCUAACAAAACUAUACCCUUUCUGUGUCAGAGUAGUUAAAGGUUUGGCAAUUCUAGAAAAAUUCUGGAUGAAUCUACGAUAAUAGCCGGCAAGACCCAAGAAUUGACGGAUUUCUGUGGUUGUCUUCGGUGCCGACCAAUUCUCUAUCGCUUUGAUUUUGGAAGGGUCCACAUGUAUGCCUUCCUUGCUUACUACGUGACCUAAGAAUGUUACCUUCUGAAUCAAGAAUUCGCUCAUGGAGAAUUUCGCGCACAACUUCUCCGUCCUUAGGGUUUCCAACACUAAUCUCAAGUGUUGUUUGUGAUUUUCCUCGCUUCUGGAAUAGACAAGUAUAUCGUCUAUGAACACGAUAACAAACGUGUCUAGGAAAGGGCGACACACCCGGUUCAUCAGGUCCAUGAACACUACCGGUGCGUUGGUUAGACCAAAGGGCAUCACUACAAACUCGUAGUGACCAUAUCGAGUCCUGAAUGCAGUCUUGGAAACAUCACUCUCAUGAACUCGUAGCUGAUGGUACCCUGAUCUAAGGUCUAUUUUCAAGAAGUAACUGGCUCCCUGAAGUUGAUCGAAAAGGUCAUCUAUUCGAGGAAGAGGAUAACGGUUUUUAACAGUCAGCUUGUUCAGCUCACGGUAGUCUAUACACAUCUGAAAGGAUCCAUCUUUCUUUUUCACAAAUAAUAUCAGGGCUCCCCAGGGUGAGGAACUCGGUCUGAUGAACCCUUUGCUGAGCAGCUCAUUAAGCUGACUAGAUAACUCCUACAUUUCUGCUGGCGCUAAGUGAUAUGGGGACUUGGCUACGGGGGUAGCUCCGGGAAUUAGUUCUAUGCGAAACUCAACUUGGCGUUCGGGAGGAAUUCCUGGGAGCUCUUCGGGAAAGACAUCAGGAAAGUUGUAGACUUUGGGGAUGCUCUCGAGGUCUUUAACUUCCUGUUUCUCGUUAAUUACAUGAGCUAGGAAUGCAUGGCACUCCUUUCGCAGGAGAUUUUAGGCUUUGAUGCAUGCGAAUAUUGGAACUAAGUUUAUCGCCGUAGAUCAUGAGGGUCUGGUCAGAGGGAAGAUUGAGACAGAUAGCGUUUUUGUAACAAAGGAUAUUAGCAUGAUUGGGACUCAACCAAUCCAUGCCAACGAUAACAUCAAAGCUUUUUAUCGACACCGGCAUAAGGUCGAUGGGAAAGGAAUGGUUGUUCAGGGUAAGGGUGUAGCCUAUGAAUAUAUCGUUAGCGUUCUCUUUAUCGCCGUUAGCCAUCUCGACAGUAAAUGUUUCGGUUAAUGGUUGAGGACUAUGUUUAAGAAGAUGUUUGAAUGAAUGGCUAACAAAACUUCGUUCCGCACCAGAAUCGAAAAUGAUGUAUGCAUAAGAGUUGUCGAGAAGGAACGUACCCAUGAUAACGGUGGGAUCGGCGACUGCCUACUCUUGUCCCAUAGUUAGAACUCUCCCGGUGUUGUUGAUUGUUGUUGCUUUGGGGCAGUUUCGCUUGUAAUGCCCGAUCUCACCACAAUCAUAGCAGGUUUGACUUACACCUGCUUCGGAUGUUUGAUUUGUUGGUUGGGCUGAUGUUUUGCAGCUCCAAGCAGUGUGGGCCUUUUUGCCACAGUUGUUGCAGAGCAUCUUACGAUAGGGGCUGGAAGUGAGAUGAUGAUAGUUGCACUUGUCGCACCGAGGAAGGGUACCAGCAUAUAUACCGGUAGGUGCUUGAGUGGCAGGGGUAGCAACAGGGGUAGUAGCAGCGUGGAUUGCUACUGUUUGCUGUUUCUUUGAGGGCUCUUGAGAAGACUGACCCUUCUUCUGUUUCCAGAAUUUUCUUUUCUCACCACUCCCUUUAGCCGGUUCAGAAGUGGUGGUCACUUCAUCGAGAUCGACUCCAUGAUCGAUCAUAGUCUACGCCAAGCACUUAGCACUGUCAAAGGUGUUUGGCCUAUCAACCAAAACAUUUCCCUUGGUUGGAUGGGUCAGCCCCCAAAUGAAUCUUUCAAUCUUUUUGCUUUCCGGGGUGACCAUUCCCGGACAAAGGAGCGCUAGGUCUUCAAACCUAUAAGUGUGGCGGCAACAUCGGAACCCUUCAUCUUUAGGUUCCAGAGUUCAUGCUCCAAUUUCUGCAUUUCACCCUGCGGGCAGUACUCGACAAGCAUUAACUCCUUCAAGCACUCCCAACCCAUGGCGUUUGUUACUGGCAGGGUUAAGGAUCUGACUCAGCCAUUCCACCAAGUCAAUGCUUUAUCGGUGAAAAUGCAGGCGGCGAAUUUCACCUUGUUGUUUUCCGAGCAAGAACAAAUUUCAAAGAUAGACUCGAUCUUCUCGAACCAUCGAGUCAGGGUAAUGACACCUCCAGUGCCAUUAAAAGAUGUGGGUUUCGCAUUCAUAAAGUCUUUAUAGGAACACUCCUUCUGGUGUCCUUGGCCACCUUCCUGGUUUUGGGGCUGAGUACCACCUCCUAGCCCGCCAGGACCGCCGGGGUUCAUCUGUGACAUUGCAGCAGCCACAACAGCAGUAACGGUUGCUUGGAACAUGGCAGGAUCAAAUGGAGGCGGUGGAGGAGGAGGAUUGUUGUUAUUUGAGCUGGGUCUUUUCUUUGGAGGCAUCUUGACCUAAAAUGAUCAUGAAAGAGAGGAUGGUAAGUCCUCUGGAUAGAAUCAAGAGAUAUGAAACAAGAGAUAUCUCAUUAUGGCAUUUAGAGUGUUCUACUAAGUGAUAGAACAGGAAAAGUUACUAAAGCAAGUAAACUAACGCUAAGGAAAGAAUGAGUAGCAACACUUGGAAUGAAUAUCUACAAUGUAUUUGGCUUUGGCUAAAAUACUCCUAUAGUAUUUUAUGUUUUGUUGCGACGAUGACUUGUUGUUUGGAUAUUUGGUAAGUUUUAGGCCUACUGUGCACCACAGUCACUCCCAAGCACAUGUUGGCCGUGUCUCGAAUGAAUAUUGUUGAUCAUGCUAUAUUGACCCUAGACACGACUAAAUAACUGCCCAGGUUUAACCACAGUGCCCAACACCUAAUUACUUUUGUUUUGUUCUACUUGUGGUUACUGAUUCUGGUAUGUAGGUAUACUGUAUACUUAAAGUAAAAAUACUUAUAUUUUUAAAGUAUAAUUUUAGUUGUAUUCCAUGUAAGGUUCGGUAUACUUAGUUCACUAUGAGCAAACGCUCUGAUACCAAUCUGUCACACCCCGAAACCGACGGCGGAAAUGUUCCGGGGCGGAGGACGUCAUGCGUAGUAUCACAACCAUUGUACAUAGUAAGCCUAGUAAACACAACCAUUACAUUACAUAUGAAUAUUUACAUUUGUUUGAAAGUGGAGAAAUGCAUAGUUUAUAUACACAUAAGUAUAACUAAAGUAUAGACAAGACUUCUAUAUGUACCGUCUUCUCCAAAAGUAAGCGGGAUACCUGUCUAACGAGAACCUGAGAAUACAAGCAGUUUUAAAAAUAUCAGCAUAAAGCUGGUGAGUUCAUAAGUGGUUGAGUUCUGGUAAAAGAAAACGUUCCUUUGAUUUCAUGAAAAGUUGUUAUCCAAGAAAAUCCCAUAUUUUCUUAUAAAAGAAGUUGGUUAUCCAUUUGUUAAACAACCCAUUUAUGAAAAGUUAAGUUAUCCCAGGAAAAACCCAUAUUUUCCUUAAAAGUCAAUGGUUGGUUAUUGAUCUGAAAAAUGAAAUGUACAAGUAUCUACCAUACUUGUAUCAUUAGGCAAAGUUUCCUUGAAACCUACGUUAAUCUUGAUAAAGUACAUUAGUUUUAACACACACACACACACACACACACACAUAUAUAUAUAUAUAUAUAUAUAGAUUCAAACACACCCCUCUACNUAUAUAUAUAUAUAUAUAUAUAUAUAUAUAUAUAUAUAUAAAACUAAUAAGUAGGUAGUGAACUAAUUCCUAAGGGUAUUGCUGAUACCCUCUAGUAAUUAAAACAGUUAUUACUUUGAGGUUAGUUCACUAGGCUCAUUAUUACUAAAAGUAAAUCUCCAUUAUCUAAGUUGCGAGUUCUAUAACCAUACAAUAAACUAGAUAUGGCUCGUAACGAGGGCCAAUAUCAUUUUAUGAUUUUGUCACCUGUAAAACUGUCGGUACCACUGUAGCUAGCAGCAAGGUGCGGGGUAGUCAGUCCCGUAUAGAUCUAUACACGAAAGUCACGUUCUUCCUCCAGGAGAUUCUGGUUACAGGGUUAGUCCUACACUCUCAAAUCCGGGGAAGUGUUACCAAGGACAGUCUCCAUUCUUAAGAAUAACAAAUUUACAAGUAAUAAUAUGGAAAAUCCCGUUUUAUGAUUGGCAUGAAUCCUUUGUAAAAUAUAAAAUAUAACAUUUUAUGAUAAGCUUUUCAAGUUUCCUUGUUUUAGAUUUGAAAACUAACUUUACAAGUUAAUUUCUUAUUCGAUUGGUUAAACGGUUUUCUGUGUUAAAAGCAAGCUAAACAUGUAAACAUUUCAUAAGGAAUAAUAAGUUUUGAGUACAAGUUCCAUUGUACUUUUGCUUGUAUUCCCCCCUGAAAACAUGAAAAACUCGGAAAAAGGUAGGGGUAUGAACUCACCUGACGUGGGCGUACCAGGUUAGGACGCUAGGUGUCAAUUUAGGACUUGAACACACACGAGGGUCCUAGGUAACAGGAAGUGAUACUCAAUUGUAUCUAAUUAGUCCUUAAAUCACUAAUUAAGAAAAUAAAAACACUCUAACACGAGGAAACACUUUAUUUCAAGUGUUAGGAAUGGUACGGGUUGCAUCUAAGGAGUGUACGGUCUCGUUAAGGAGAUUACUCUUCAAGUGUAAGCCCUUAGGGGGUGUUUAUGGUCUCAAGACCAUAUCCCCAUGAGUUUACGGCCGUAAACUCAUGGGAGUGAUGUUAUUGGUUGCUCAGAGGUCUUAUGCUUCACAAAGAAAGGUACUAGGGUUGAAUCAAAGGUCAUGGAAGUGUUUGGGGCUUGAAAUGGACCCUUUAUGGAGUUUACGGUUUCUGAACCACUCCUUGGGGAGUUUACGGCCGUAAACACAUGAGUUACGACCAUAAACUCAUGUUUGUCCAUUUUUCAUGUGUUUUGGUCGUUGUAGGUUAAGCAUGCAAAGUUCUAGACCCAAAUAUAAGCCAUACAAGGUGUUAAGGGCACUUAAACACCCUUUGGAGGUGUUUACGGUUUUGGGAGAUCCCCAAACCAUAAACUCAUGUUUACUCCCUUAAAUUCAUGUUUUGGGGUUCUUAGAUGAUUCAUGCAAGUCUCUAGGUCAUAAGCUAAGAAUUGGAAAGGUUUUGGAAGGGUUUCGGGGCAUAAAAACCCCCUUUUAGGGUGUUUACGUUUUUGGGAUGUUCCCAAACCGUAAACACAUGUUCUUGGUGUUUUUGAAUGAUUAAACCAGGGAUUUGCAAGUAUGUUAGGCUAAAAAACAAGCUAGGAAGGUUAAUUUAUAGUUGUGAAGCUUGAAAGGGGCGUUUCUAGAUCAAAUCCCGAGUUGUAGAGAGAGAGAGAGAGAGUAGAGAGAGAAAGCUCUAAGGUGGGUGAAAAAGGUUCAAAUGGAGACCACUCAACCCUUAUAUAAGGUUGAAUUCACGGCCAGGUGGGGGUCCACCCAAUCCCGACAUUAAAACGGAGUUUAAGAUUGUACCCGAUUUAAUGGUCGUAACCCAACUUAGUCAUGAAUUAAAAAAUUUUCCGAAAGAUUUCGAGGGUAUUUCACGUGAUUUUAUUGCUUUCAGACGCAUAUGAAAAAUACAACAAUAACCCAAAUGGAUUUACUUAACUCAAAAGUUAACGGAAAAUUUUCAGUAAAAUAAAUUUUAUUAACGAAAGUGGGUUAGAUUGACGGAAUAAAUUUCAGGUUGUCACAAAUAUGCCUCCUCAGAGGUCAACAAGGCGUAAUCCUCUGAGUACUCCAACUCAAACACCAACUCCUCCACCAUUUGAUAUGGCAGCUCUUAAUACUGUGGUAGCUACGGCUGUUGCCACAGUGAUGGCACAGUAUCACAACAACCAGGGAACUAGUGGAGGUGGAACAGCCUUCAUUCCACGCAAGGUGACAUCGUCAUGCGCUCACGAGAGUGCAGUUAUAAAGACUUCACCAACUGUAAGCCCCGAACCUUCAAUGGGAUCGGUGGAGUCAUUGCACUGUCGUAAUGGUUCGAAAAGAUGGAAUCGAUCAUUGAGAUCUGUUCCUAUACUGAAGGAAGCAAAGUAAAAUUUGUUGCAUGCACCUUCAGUGAUAGAGCCCUGACGUGGUGGAAUAACCAUGUCAAGUCACUAACCUUAAUAUUGGCAAAUGCUAUGGGAUGAGAAGCUCUUAAUGGGCUGAUGGUUGAAGUAUACUGCACGAGGGGAGAGGUUCAGAAGAUGGAACAGGAACUCUGGAGUCUGACCAUGAAAGGCUCCAACAUAGUGGCAUACACUGCCAGAUUCAGCGAUCUGGUGGUGCUAUGUCCUAAUAUGGUUCCUACUGAGGGGAAGAAGAUUGAGAGGUACAUUUGGGGGCUAGUGCCUCCAUUUCAGGGGAAUGUCUUAGCUUCAAACCCCACUACUUUCGAUAGUGCCAAGCGAUUGGCACAGAGACUCAUUGAUCACGGAGUCUCUACCCUGACAACGACAACAACCCUGGCUAUCCCAGAACCCUCCAAAGUCGCUGAUAACAAGCGCAAGUUUUUGGAUAAACAAGAAGGGAAAAUCGGCGUAGAACUUUGCCAAGAAGCAGCAAGUAGUGGCUGUUAAUGCCGCAAUUGUACCUGCUGCUACAACGCCAAGGAACCCGUAUACCGGAAAUUUUCCCAAGUGCAACAAAUGCACUUUCCAUCAUAAUGGUGACUGCCGGGAAAUGCAGUGCGCUAGCUGCAAUAGAAAAGGGCACACUGCCCGAUUCUGCAAGGCUCCGGUAAGGCCAUUUAACCAAGUCCCCGACAUUGGUGCAGGCCAGGCUUGCUACGGCUGUGGCGAGGUUGGUCAUUUCAAGAGAUACUGCUCGAAGGCAAGGAAUGCCGGUGGAGUGGGAAGGAUUCUGGCAAUAGGCCACGAGGAAGCCGUAGUUGAUCCUACGAUAGUUAAUGGUACGUUUCUCCUCGAUAAUUCAUAUGCCUGUAUACUAUUCGAUAGCGGAGCAGAGAGAAGCUCCGUAAGCCAGAAAUUUGUUCACUUACUUAAACAAAAACCACGAGCACUAGAGGAAUCUUUCACUAUAGAAAUGGCAAACGGGAAAACGGAAAGUACUAACUGCAUAUACAUAGGUUGUACACUAACUCUAGAUGGUCAUUCUUUCCAAAUAGACCUCAUUCCGGUCUCAAUUAAAAGUUUCGACAUCAUAAUCGGCAUGGAUUGGUUAAGUCAUCGUCGCGCCGACAUCAUGUGCUUUGAGAAAGCAGUUCGUUUUAACCUCCCUAACAACGAAACUCUAGUCAUCUACGAUGAGAAAUCUAAUACGAACCUUCGCAUCAUACAUCAUCGAUAUGAGUCAAGAAAUGAAGGAAAUUCAGAAUAUUCCAGAAGUACGUGACUUUUCCGACAUCUUUCCAGAAGAACUACCGGGAUUACCACAACAACGCCAAGUCGAGUUCAGAAUCGACUUAGUGCCAGGGGCUACUCUAGUAGCCAAAUAUCCAUAUCGUCUAGCACCGGCAGAGAUGCAGGAACUUUCCAGUCAACUUAACGAACUUCUCAAGAAAGGAUUCAUUAGGCCAAUGUACUUGAUUUUCUAUAAGGAAAAUAUUGGAUUUUCUUGGUAACACACAACUCAUUACAAAGAUCGGUUUCCAAACUCUUUAUCUCAAAAACUUAUGAACUCACCAACCUUUUGUUGGGUUUUGAGCAAUCUAACACUUCCUAAGUGUGCAUGCAACCCUAAUAAACCUUGGAUCUAUGUUUGUCUAAAUACAUGCAAAAUAAUAAUUUUCCAAGGUUUAUAACCUAUCUAACAUGGCAUGGGGAACAUUUCAACAUAAAAAGUUAGAAGAGAUUACAUACCUUUUUGAUGAGUUUGGUUCUUGAGGAGUUUGAGGGCCAAGCACCAAUAGUGUGAAUGCCUCAAAUGGAAUCACAAAACACCACAAACUCUUGGAAAACUUUGAGAGAGUACACACACUUUGUAUUUUCGGCCACACACAAGCACACACACACUAGUUCACUAGUUGCCAUUUCAUGCACCAUAAGCAUGCUUAUAUAGUGUACAUGGUUAGGGUGAAACCCUAAUAACCCAUGACCUUUCCUUUUCCAAGGAUCCAUGGGUUAAAAGCUCCAUGGAUCAUCCAUGGACUUCCAUCCANUUUAUAUCUUUAAGUAUGACAAAUACUUGUUCAUUUUCGGUCCUGGUAUUUAGGACCACAUAACUUUUAUAAGGAAAAUAUUGGAUUUUUCUUGGUAACAUACAUCUCUUUACAAAGAUCGAUUUUCAAACUCUUACUGUCAAAAGCUUAUGAACUCACCAACCUUUGUGUUGACACUUUUCAAAACUACUUGUAUUCUCAGGAAUUCAGUGAAACAGGAAAUCAACAACGUUUUGAGGAUGGGACGAUAAAUCGUCAAACAGUUCAUUUUGUAUCAUAAUGUAAUUGAUUUGAAUCAUGUAAACAUAUACUUUGGUGUAACUUUUUCAAUUAUAUUUAUGAUGGUUGUAUUUACUUUGAGCACUAUUAUACACGUUGUUGUGAUACUAUACAUGAAGUCCUCCACCCCCGGACGUUUCCGCCAUCCUUGGUUUGGGGGUGUGACAGAUUGGUAUCAGAGCAUUGUUUAUAGUGAACUCAGUAUAUCGAACCACAUAAGAUAUGCAAACUAUAAAUGCAUUGGGACUAAAGUCUCUGAUUUAAAGUUUUCAAAACAAUUAUACUUUUAGAAAUAAAUAAUCUCCUAUUAAAAGUAUACAUGCAUGCAUACAUACUAAGGUCAUCAUCAAUCUAGAACAAAACAAAAGUAAUGAUUGUUGGAUAUCACAGGUAAGCUCGGGGAUGUAUGGUCAGUCUUGGGAGUGGCAUAGCCUGAUCAACUAUGCUGGUCCGAGGAGUGAUUAGCACAAGCCCAAGAAUGGUUGUGAUAUGGUAACAAGUCUAAAAACUUACCAACACUACCACAAUGAGAACAUUAGAACCAAACAAACAAUUUAAAAUACUAUUGGAGUAUUUUGUAAUAUCAUAACUUAUAUGAAAACUAAAUAGAUCUUUAAUAAUAGGUCUAUAGUCCCUAAGUGGAUACUCUAAGGUUAUAUAUAACUUAGAAAUAAUAGACUUAGAAUUUGUGGUCAUUGCCUUACUUCCUUUUCCUUGUUUGGAUGUGGACCUAGGGUAGGAUCACUUAUUCAAAGGUCCAUCAUAUCUUGUUAUAUGUAAUUAGUAUGCACUAUGUCAUUAUAGAAGUAACUAAUAAGGAUCACUCCUAUAAGUAAUUAAUUAUAGAGUUAGACGCCUAGUAAUUAUCUCUUCCACUCCUAUUCUCGCAAGUACAACAUAGCAAGAUCGUACUUACCGGGCGACCCCUACUUUUCCAAUCCGAACCCGAGAAAUGGUGAAUGGUUAUGAGAAGAAUCAGAAGUGGAACUGGAGGUAAUAAAUCCUCCAUGCAUAGCAAGGGUUUCUGCGAACCGUUUCGACUAUAUCGAACCUGUGCCCCGUUGGGCAAUCGUGAUCGAGGGUUGAAUGUCUAAAACAAUGACAACAACCACCAUGUGGAGACCAACGAGGGUGAUAUGACCUCAACCACGGGGGACCGACUGACAAAUCCCUCCCGGCGAAGACCCGGCGGAUCGCGAACAUCGGGGAUUAAAACAGGAAGACUACAACCCGAGUUCAGAAAAUUGCGCACUAUUAUGGACCCUACCGUCUUACGUACCUGAGACUUAGAAAGAGACUACUAUUUUAGAGGCCAACAUUUUUUUAAGGACCUUAUCGCCGCUCAUGAAGAGGAAAGAGAGUAACAGGGUAGACAUACGACAUUCAAAGAGAGGAUGAUUGCAGCCAAGCAUCUAUUAGCAGGGCUGCAAGGUGCAUCGACUUUGCCUCAGCCAUCGCAAGGGACAGAUCGUCGUGAGUAGAGUUCAAACCGCUCGCAAGACCUUGUAACUUAGGUUCGUAAGUAUGCGUUGGUGCUACUCUAUUCUAGGCGUAAGCACGACACUGUGAUUUAAGCGGUCAUACUAAACGAGAGAUCUAGUUGCUAUCAAAACUUUUCCAUGCACGGAUGUGAGGUAAACCUACAUCUAGGUCAAAAUUUUCGUUGAAACCAGAAUUACUAGAGUCAUAUUAACAAGAUGGGCUUAGGACAUACCUAACAGACUCAAAGGUCUAUUAAGUCUUAAUCAUACCUCUAAGCAUACAUCAAAUGGUCGUAAGAGAGGCCUAGCUUGGAUCAAAUUUCAAGGUUUCGCUUGGAUACAGAACUACUAAAAAAAUUCAUGGGUUUACCAUAUAGACUCUCGUUAUGAAUUGUUUUCAGAACACCCUUAACAACCAGAAUACGUUACAAAAUGAACUAAGAUAAACUUAGUUAGAAAACCUGCGACGUAUAGCCAUUCUAAAGACUCGUUACCGUCUCUUCCCUUAACCCUUAUGAUUGAGGGGAUGCUUUCUUCGAAGAACUAUAAGGUGCGAUCUUUCCAGCACUAAUACACUGAAUCCCAUCAAAAACUCCUCAGCCAAGUGUGUUUGGACAAACAUGAUUCUAAGAUGAGUAAAGCUUAACGCCCGUAUGAAACCUACUCCUACCCACUACCAUAACUCCAUCUCAGGAACGUUAGCAGAAACACUAGGAAUAGUACAAUAAUGUGCAAAAAUUUAUAUGCAUAAAUAUAAAUCGUAAGGAUGCACUUAAGAUAAUCAUUUCCACUAACGAAGUCGUUUUUCAUCGUGAAACAGAGCUAUGUCUUCACCAAGAGGCAACCAACCAACUAUCAAGGCACCAACUCUGUAGAUAGACUCUGCUACUUUUCAGGCNGCUACUUUUCAGGCUGUAGUCACGGUAGCCGUGACAGUCGUCAUGGCACAAUUCAAUACUAACAACGCCAGCAGAGAUGGAAGCGGUACUGACAAUACAGAUUGUGGUAACAAUCAGGGACACCAACGGGUGUCUGCCAACCAAAAUACCUCAGGCCAGAAACCUACGAACAAGAAGCGAAAGUUUUGGAACAAAAUGGAGCGCAACCAAUCUCAAAGAUCCACUAAAAGACAACAACCCAUGGCCACCCCUACAAUUACAACAGUAGUCACGACUCAUGCCUCGACACUAGCCACGGGGUCUGCCACCAUAUUGUCCGUUUCUGUAAGGCCCCGACUCAGUACAUUGCUUCAACCCCCAAUACCAAGGUAAUUCCAUUGUGCUUCCUAUGUGGCGAAACAGGACAGUUCAAGAGAAACUGUCCAACUGAGAGGAAUGAUGGGGGAGCCGGAGGAGUGUGACAAACGAACCAACAAGGGUAACAGGGAACCAUAUUAGGACUUUUUUGUAAUGUUUCCAAUGACAAAAACGUUUAAGUACCAUAUGUUUGUAAUGAAUUUGGUAUUUGCUGAAAUCACCGUCUUUCUAAAAAUAGUUAAAAUACACUCUCGUUCAAAUCAAACCAAAGAAAUUCAUAUAUGACCUUAGGAUCAUUACCUGUAAGAUGUGAUGACUUUAUACAUACAACGGGGUUAAUUAUAUUCAAAAUACUGAAGUCUCGAAACAAAUAAUUCCAUCCUGACUCCUAUUUCAUGUCUAGUAGUAGGAAUUGAGUGGGGCCACCCACUUGACGAUUUCACCAACAUCAACUUACAUACGACGUUCAUAUAUCGCUCGAUCGUAGGGAGACCUAUCAGGGAUCAUGAUAUCAAGUAUCAUUACUGGCUAUCGAAACACACCCACUACCAGUGCUAGACACUGUGGUAUGAAUCAUCUAUAGUAAUAAUAACAUCAAACAAAACAGAACACCCUGAAAAGAAACACAAGAUACUCUAUCACUCUAGUGAGCUCUUCUUAUGAAUACAGCUUAACACAUGUUAUCUAAAAGGAUAUUGUUGUUGUUGGGAUUAAAAACCUAAUUGUGAUUUGAUGAACAAGAUGCGAAAAAUAAGAACAAACACAAAUAUGAAGAUUAUGUUGAAUGAUCACUCGAUUUAUUGAAAACAGGAGGAAUAAAUUACACUUUCAGCAUAGACUAAAGAAUCUAACAGUACAUAAGAAACCUCACGUGGCGGCUACAUUUUGCCUCACUCUUAACCCUAAUAAUGAAUAAUACAUGACUAUUUAUAGGGAAAAGACAAGUCUUGGGCUUUUAACCUACACUUCAUCAAGGGGCCCAUUGCCAUCAUCCAUGGAGUGCUUUGAAACCCUACAAUCUCCCCCUUAAAGUAUGGAAUGGAUGACAAUGCUUUAACUUCCAAAACAAGCAUCUAGCGAAUAAAAAGAUCUUGCAACGAGGAAUAGAUGAAGCAAUCGACGAAUCUUGAUUCUUCAAUAGUCUUCAACCACGGGCUCUAGGAUAUAUAAAUCAAGCACUGAAGUAAUGUCUUUAAACUUCAUUUUCGAAUGUAAUCCCAAAAAAAUCUUCAUGAAAACCAAGCCCACCAUAAAACCCAUUUCAGAACAAAGAAACCGAAUCACUUCUUGUCUUUGAAGAGCUCCCCCUCUAAGUCACAAUGAUCUUCAAAUAAGCUAAUGAUAUAAGCCAUCAAAAAAUAUCAUGUAACAACCCAAACUUUAAGAUUCGUAAUGUCGCUUGAUUGAGAAAAUACUAGAAGUCGGAGAUAUAACAAGUCCUUAGCAGAGCUCGAUAAAGAACUUCCGCUGUAAAGGAUACUUCUCUGUAAAAGCUUUAGCAGAGCUCGAUGAAGAACUUCCACUGUAAAAGCUACAUUCAUAAUUCUACCACAAGCUUUAUAAAAAAUCUUCAACUUUGAAAAAUCACAAAUCCAAUUUCGAAUGGCCAUACCAAAUUCUCCCCCGAUUUAUAAUAAAAAAAACAUGAUUAUAAAGCCUUCAAAUGGUCAUGAGAAUGAUCUUGAAUGGAUAAAAAAUUAUUGUGCUCCCCCGUGACAAAAUGAUAUACACAAUGAAGUAUAAAAUCCGAAAAAGUCAUGAAAAUUUGACGUUAUCAAGAAAAAUGACUUUCCGAACCGCCAAGAGUUGAUGGAAUCUUUAAUUUUCUGUUCACGAAAAAAAAUAUGUGCAUUAAAAAAAUCCAAAACUGUUCACCGGCCCUCAAAGUAGUAAACUUUUCUGAAUAUUGGGCCGAAACUGUCACAUUCCAGAAACACUUGGGUUGAAAUUGUAAUCAUGCACCAAUAAACCCCUUUAAUUGUAACAAUUUUUGGAAAUGGACCAAAAUUGCAAAGCUGUGAAAAUAACAGGGAUCAGAAGUGUCAAAUCAUUGAAGUUUCAGUGAACAAAAACGUAACUUAAAUCAUCUUUCCCAAUUUUAAUGUCUGAUACAUCUCGUUUUUGUAUUGUGAAGAACACGAAUCCAAACAACUGCGAAUCAAUAUUAACAAACGAUCGUGAAAGAGCAGUGCAAAUCCGAGAAUUUCAAUCACCGAACGUUCGCAGGUAAGGACUUUUCAAACCAAUUUUGACUUUUUCAAUUUUGACUUGCAAGAACAACAGCUCAAUCAUUCUGAUUGAGUUUUAAUUUUGAUUUCAUUUGUUCCAAAUGACACAGUUCCGAUUGCGAAUUUGAAUUUCAUCCGUUCUGAUUGUAUUAUGCUCUGAUCCGAGACCCAUAUGGCGAUUGUGAACAUGAAUAACCAUUUCGAUUUGACUGUAAUUCUAAACGGAGACCAAGAACAAAUAUUGUUUCUGAUUCCGAGAGGUAAUUUCAAAACAUCGAACACUUCUUCUUUGAUUGCAACAUCCUAAUUUCAACUGAUUUUGAAUUUUGACUUUUCUAGAUUGACCAACCAAAUCGAGAUACAAGUUGUUCAUCUAUUCAUCAUUUGUUCAUUAUAAGACUCCAAGAUUUGUAUUUAACAAACACCUAAUCUAUACUCCAAAGAUCGAUUUCUUUCACAAAUCACCAAUAAUUUUCAAAGAUUGUAAAAUAUUAAAUUGACUAUAGGAAUAAGGAAACCGAAGAAAAAUGUGAUCUUGGACUAAAACAAACAGAAAUCGAUUGAGUUUUGGUACAUCAACAAGCAAUAAACCCAAACAAACCAUCGAUUAUUAGUCUUUGACAAAUAAGGAAAACCAAACCGGAUGAAUUGUCACACCCCAAAACCAAGAACAACGGAAACGUUCCGGGGUGGAGGACGUCAUGUAUAGUAUCACAACAGUGUAAAAUAGUAAUCAAGCAACAACAUCAUCCAUUGCAUUAUAAGUAAAGUUUUAAUACAUGUGUGUUCUUUCAUUAUAAAAAGACACCAAAAAUAUACAAUCAAACUAAAGACGAGACUUGUCUGCUCCGUCUUCUCAAAACCUGGCCACCGUACUUGUCUACUGAUGACCUGAGAAUACAAGUUAUUUUGAAAGAGAGUAUCAGCUUUAAAGAUGGUGAAUUCAUAAGUAUUUAAGUGUCAUUGUCUUGCUUACAAAAAGCUGUUUUAAAAGUCAUGUAAACCUUUAAAUGAAAAUGCUGAUGUAAGUAUGAGAAGCCCUAGAAAUCCCUUAUUUUCUAUUAGUUUGAGAUGUAGUCUUCUACCAAGACCCGAAUGUUUUGUUAUGACAAUGUAGUCUUCUACCAAGACCCGAAUGUUUUGUUAUGAUAAUGUAGUCUUCUACCAAGACCCGAAUGUUUUGUAAGUAAAAUGAUAGUUUUUCCUUUCUAUUGACUAGUACUAAAAGUACUGAGUCUAACUCUUUUUUUAGGUGAAUGUAUCACAAAAUAAAGCAAAAUAGGAAAAUGAUAUGAUAGUCUUCUACCAACACUUAAAUGUUCUAUAAGUAAAAUGAUAGCUUUUCCUUUCUAUUGACUAGUACUAAAAGUGCUUAGUCUAACUCAUCGUUUAUGUGAAUAUAUCACAAAAUAAAGCAAAUAGGAAAAAUAUAAUCAUGUAACUGUUAUCCCUGGGUGACCAGGAUUAACACGACAUUGCCGAAGCGAAAGGUAUACCCUAAUGAACAUCUGAAGAUUGUCCACUCAUCCUCUGUAGCGGCAGCAGGGUGGAGGGAGGGUUAGUCCCGUAGCCGACUCCUAAUAUAAGUGGUAACCUAAUGAUCAUCCGAAGAUUUUCAUCUCAUCCUCUGUUGCAACAGCAGGAUGGAGGAAUGCUUAGUCCCGUGGCCGACUCCUAAUACAAGGGUUAACCUAAUAAUCAUCCGAAGAUUUUCAUCUCAUCCUCUGUUGCAACAGCAGGAUGGAGGAAUGGUUAGUCCCGUGGCCGACACCUAAUACAAGCGUUAACCUAAUAAUCAUCCGAAGAUUUUCAUCUCAUCCUCUGUUACAACAGCAGGAUGGAGGAAUGGUUAGUUCCGAUAUCAAUCUAUCUAUGAUAAGUGAUAACCUUAGACAUCCGUAGAUGUUCAUCACCCAGUGUUGCUAACAGCUGGGUUCCGGAAUGGUUAGUCCCGUCUAGACAUCCCAUCGAAUAGGGAUAGGCAGGAAAAUUUACACAGAAGGUACGAAUAAAUCUUCCUAAUAACUCUAGGUACAAGUAUCCAGGUAAGUGAAUACCGAAUAAUGUAUCUAAGUAACAAUACUCAUGUAUGGUAUUCAUGUAAGCGUAUUCAGAUAAAUGUAGCUAUGUAAACGUACUCAUGUAUCAUGUAAUCCUAAGUAAUUGUACUCAUGUAUCAUGUAAGGUACUGGUAUAGACUCAUGAAUGAACUGACUCUUGUGUGAUUCCUUGUAAUAGGAAUAAUGUUUUGUUUCUUCUAACUAUCCCUAUGAUAAUUAACUNNNNNNNNNNNNNNNNNNNNNNNNNNNNNNNNNNNNNNNNNNNNNNNNNNNNNNNNNNNNNNNNNNNNNNNNNNNNNNNNNNNNNNNNNNNNNNNNNNNNNNNNNNNNNNNNNNNNNNNNNNNNNNNNNNNNNNNNNNNNNNNNNNNNNNNNNNNNNNNNNNNNNNNNNNNNNNNNNNNNNNNNNNNNNNNNNNNNNNNNNNNNNNNNNNNNNNNNNNNNNNNNNNNNNNNNNNNNNNNNNNNNNNNNNNNNNNNNNNNNNNNNNNNNNNNNNNNNNNNNNNNNNNNNNNNNNNNNNNNNNNNNNNNNNNNNNNNNNNNNNNNNNNNNNNNNNNNNNNNNNNNNNNNNNNNNNNNNNNNNNNNNNNNNNNNNNNNNNNNNNNNNNNNNNNNNNNNNNNNNNNNNNNNNNNNNNNNNNNNNNNNNNNNNNNNNNNNNNNNNNNNNNNNNNNNNNNNNNNNNNNNNNNNNNNNNNNNNNNNNNNNNNNNNNNNNNNNNNNNNNNNNNNNNNNNNNNNNNNNNNNNNNNNNNNNNNNNNNNNNNNNNNNNNNNNNNNNNNNNNNNNNNNNNNNNNNNNNNNNNNNNNNNNNNNNNNNNNNNNNNNNNNNNNNNNNNNNNNNNNNNNNNNNNNNNNNNNNNNNNNNNNNNNNNNNNNNNNNNNNNNNNNNNNNNNNNNNNNNNNNNNNNNNNNNNNNNNNNNNNNNNNNNNNNNNNNNNNNNNNNNNNNNNNNNNNNNNNNNNNNNNNNNNNNNNNNNNNNNNNNNNNNNNNNNNNNNNNNNNNNNNNNNNNNNNNNNNNNNNNNNNNNNNNNNNNNNNNNNNNNNNNNNNNNNNNNNNNNNNNNNNNNNNNNNNNNNNNNNNNNNNNNNNNNNNNNNNNNNNNNNNNNNNNNNNNNNNNNNNNNNNNNNNNNNNNNNNNNNNNNNNNNNNNNNNNNNNNNNNNNNNNNNNNNNNNNNNNNNNNNNNNNNNNNNNNNNNNNNNNNNNNNNNNNNNNNNNNNNNNNNNNNNNNNNNNNNNNNNNNNNNNNNNNNNNNNNNNNNNNNNNNNNNNNNNNNNNNNNNNNNNNNNNNNNNNNNNNNNNNNNNNNNNNNNNNNNNNNNNNNNNNNNNNNNNNNNNNNNNNNNNNNNNNNNNNNNNNNNNNNNNNNNNNNNNNNNNNNNNNNNNNNNNNNNNNNNNNNNNNNNNNNNNNNNNNNNNNNNNNNNNNNNNNNNNNNNNNNNNNNNNNNNNNNNNNNNNNNNNNNNNNNNNNNNNNNNNNNNNNNNNNNNNNNNNNNNNNNNNNNNNNNNNNNNNNNNNNNNNNGCCCUUAAAAUGGAGUUUACUCUCCGCGUGUUCUUGGGCGGUAAACUCCCAAAUAUUGGGGUCUUGAUCCGAUUUUGAUGUUUUCUAGUCAUAUACACACUAGCAUACAAGCCUAAGGUAGUUACUUAACAUGGGGAAAAGACUAGGUAGCAUUUAAGCCACAUAUAGGAGUUUACUCUCCAAGAACGUUCUUGGGCGGUAAACUCCCGAAUCUCACAGAUUUGCUAUGUAAUCUAAGUUAUUAAGCACAUUAUAAGCAUUAUAAGACAACUAGAGAAGUGUACUCACGAUUUGGGAUAAAAACCCGAAGAUCCGUGAGAGAGAAAAUGGCUUUUCUCUAGUUGGAAAUGUAACUAAUGACAUAAUUUGGUUCAGAAUUCUAUUUAUAGUCCUGAGAUAUUUUUGGCAGAAAAUAUUUUUAUUCCCGAAAUGAUUUCUAAUAUAACCUAGUGUUGGAAUAGCAGUGUUGCACAAAACCCUAGUGCAUCCACUCUCCUGAUAUCUCCUUAAGUGUAAAUCGUGAAAAACUCAAACUUAUACCCAAAGUUUGGAAUUUUGCUGAAACGGUUCUAACUUCUAUUGGCUUGAUAUGGUUUGUUCAGAAUGGAAAUUUCAGGUUGUCACAUGAAUGAAGACACAUAAAAGCGACGCAAACAGGAGCACUAGAUAUCAUAUUAAGGCUAAAGAGAUGGAUCAUGAACAGUGAAAGAUUGGGCCAGAUCAAAAAGAAUGGAUUCGUAAUUGAUAGUGGAUUGAAUUAAGAAAUUGAACGAAUCAUAAAUACGAUCAGAAAACAAAUCGGAUUAACAGAAAAUUACCCUGAUGAACAACAGUAGAUGAACAUAAAUUUUCAUGAACAGUUGCUUGAACAGAAUUUUGAUUCCAAGAUGCCAAAACACCAAUAAUCUUCAAUAACUUGUGCAGAAAAUCAUCAAACCAAGAACCGAUACUUCAAAAAUCAACAGAUCUUCAAAGACCCGCUCUGAUACCACUUGUUGGGAUUAAAACCCUAAUUGUGAUUUGAUGAACAAGAUGCGGAAAAUAAGAACAAACACAAAUAUGAAGAUUAUGUCGAAUGAUCACUCGAUUUAUUGAAAACAGGAGGAAUAAAUUACACUUUCAACAUAGACUAAAGAAUUUAACACUAUAUAAGAAACCUCACGUGGUGGCUACAUUUUGCCUCACACUUAACCCUAAUAAUGAAUAAUACAUGACUAUUUAUAGGGAAAAGACAAGUCUUGGGCUUUUAACCUACACUUCAUCAAGGGGCCCAUUGCCAUCAUCCAUGGAGUGCUUUGAAACCCUACAGUUGUCAUCAUCCAAUUUUGAUUUAUAUAGCCCUCAUCUUCCCGAUUUAACGACUACAAAAGGACCCUUCACCUAACCCUCCGAAUAUCGAAACCUUUGUCUCCCAUAAAUGCAUCCAGCUCGGAUCUACGGGUCAUCUCUCGCUCUGAAACUCCAAAACACGCACCAGAGGAGUGUUAUACUUCCUGAAACCUUAUCACAUGUAUUUACAGGAGACCUUCGGGAAUGUCACGCAUGCAAUAGACAAGGUUCAAGCACAGAAGCUUGGGACGGAUACGUGUAUACGCGAGGAUAAUGUAUAAUUAAGAUUCUACGAACAUUGGAUGUGUGCUUCCGCCUUAUUUCCUGUUCCAUGUCUGGUUGUGGACUUGGGGCAGAGUCACCCAUCUAACUGUCUUGCCAAUCUUAAGCACAUACGACCUAUAUGCGCAAGUUAAUGAUAGAUGAACCAGGUACGAGUCCUGUCAUGAACUUCGACCCAAGGUUGCCCAGGAGGACGAGUGAACGUCCUACCAUCCGAAAAAGGUCUAAGUCGCGUAAACCAAACCCACAUGCUUCCUACCGAGCUGCAAGAACUGUCAGGUCAAACCUGUCGAACUACUCAACAAUGAAAUUGAAGAACCAAGCUUCUCACCCUGGAGAGCUCCAGUCUUAUUCUUCAAAUAGAAAGACAAAUUGCUCGUAGGUCCAUCGACCUCAAAGGCCCCGACAAUAUCUCCAGUAGAAACCUUUACUAUCCGCCUCGCAUAGACUAAUAGGCUGACCAACUGCAAGGAACGAGGUACCCUUCAGGAAUUGGACUCUAGAUCCGAAUAUCACCAGUCGUGAGUAUUGGAGAAGGAUGUCCGAGGACAAUCCUCCAAGUUUGAUGUGGAUGCUACAAGUUCUUAGUGAUACCCCUCGGAUAAGACCAACCCGCUCGCAGUCUUCAUGAACUUAAUGAAGAGGAUAUGCCAUUCUUACUAGGAUCAGUUCGUCAUUGUCAUUGAAAAUGACUUGCUUAUCUACCCUCGUAGUAAGAAGGAAACCAAGGAGAGCAGCUACAACAAACCGUGAAAACAAUACGAUCAAAGAAACCUUACCUGAAUUUCUCUAGAUACGAGUUUUGGAAUUGAAGAGUCAAAUUCCUAAGACACACUAUUAUUGAUGUGGAAAUUCUUGAGGACCCUUUCAAUUAAUCAAAACCAUUGAGAGAUUGUCAGCACCAAAGGCGUCGACAGGAAUACGCCAAAAUUCUGGGUCUCGCUGACCUACCGUCUUACUUCCUUUGGAACUUCUUGUAAAUUACGGAACCCCCUUACGACUUUGACCCUGAAGGGAGCAACCCUUUACUGGGAAGAGAAGCAAGAGGGAGAAACCUUUAGAACUCCAGUAUAAGAGACCAAAUUCCUCUGGAAGCCUCACUCUGGGAAGGGUUACUACGCUUCGGAAAGCGUGGAAAGCUAAAACCCCACAUAAUUAUGCCUUUCGAGAUUCUUGUCAGAAUCAGCCCUGUAACUCGCUACUUCAAUCUACUCCCGUGAGCUUGGUAAAGUACAUCCUACCCGACACGUCCCAAACUUGUAGAAGUAUCUAUCCGACGAGACUCUUGUAAUCCCCCUCGACGAGAUCGAGUUCUACAAGGGCCUCACCUUCGUGGAAGAACCGUAGUGACCAUGGACCGAGAGGUCAAGCGAACGAAGCAACACCGCUUCCCAUUAGUGAAAGUUUGUUGGAAUACUAACCAAGGACCUGGAGUCACUUUAGAGCACGAGAAUCAGUCGAUUAGGAAGUAUCCCUACUUCUUGGCUCGAUUGUUCAUGCCUACUACUUGCCUAAAUUCAAAUUUUGGGACGAAAUUCCCUUUAACAGGGGGAUUGUGUGACAACCGUCAAUUUUCGGUCAAGUCAAAGUCAACUAAAGUCAACAAGUCAAAUCGUUCGACUCAAUUAGCCCAUGGGUUCUAGGGCUUACGUUAGCUAAUUACUUCACAACUCGCUAUUCUAAUGAGAGAUCAUAAAUCGAAAAGUAUAUACAUCUAGGUCUCCUUAACCUAAAACUGUGGUAAGUGACGAACCAAACUGAUAAAACAAUGUUGCAUACUCAUCGGAAGUGUGUAAGAUCCUUAAACAAGGCUUAACGGGGUUUACGGACCUUACAUUGCGAAGUCGGACACUUGCAAAUGUCACACACGAAACCUCUCUCAACCGUUUUCACUUUACCUCUCUUUAUCGAGAAUCUCUCUUAAAUCUCUCUGAGUAUGUGAAAUCUCUCCCAAAUCUCUCUUUAUAUGAGAAAUCUCUCCAAGAAUAUGAAAUCUCUCCCAAAUCUCUCUAAGUAUGUGAAAUCUCUCCCAAAUCUCUCUUUGUAUGAGAAAUCUCUCCAAGAAUAUGAAAUCUCUCCUAAAUCUCUCUAAUUAUGUGAAAUCUCUUCCCAAUCUCUCUUUGUAUGAGAAAUCUCUCCAAGAAUAUGAAAUCUCUCCCAAAUCUCUCUAAGUAUGUGAAAUCUCUCCCAAAUCUCUCUUUGUAUGAGAAAUCUAUCUAAGAAUGUGAAAUAUCUCCCAAAUCUCUCUAAGUAUGUGAAAUCUCUCUAAGUAUGUGAAAUCUCUCCCAAAUCUCUCUUUGUAUGUGAAAUCUCUCCAAGAAUAUGAAAUCUCUCCCAAAUCUCUCUUUGUAUGAGAAAUCUCUCCAAGAAUGUGAAAUCUCUCCCAAAUCUCUCUAAAAAGUUCCUUAAACUUUGUAUAGUCUUUCCGGCCAUCCCGACCCUUAACCGGGUCAAAAACCGCUUAAAACGGGGUAAGAACGGAUAAAAAGGGCUAAGAACCCGAAACCCCUCUUAAGGACUCGAACCCUCUUAAGGACCCGGACCCCUCUUAGGAACCGAACUUGUCAGAAGCGAACUUAUCAUAAGCAAACUUGUCAGAAGCGAACCCUCCCUUCGGACCGAGCCUCGCAUAAGGGACCGAACCCUCCCCUUCGGACCGAACCUUCGGUCCAUUUCGGUCUAUUUCACUCCAUUUCGCCUCUUAACCACUUUCGCCCCAUUUCGCUUCCUGACUCACCCGAGUCUUCGGUCCCAACAUUCUAAGGACUGAACCUAGCCACCUUCGGCCCCCUUACGAGAAGCCUCACAGGAAGAGCAUUUCUUCCCGGUUUUCGACUACGAUUUCAUUUUAGCUUCGUUUUUAAUUGUUUUAAUGCGGGAUUUUCACCAAAAACUUUAUUUUAACAUAUAAGGCCCCAUAUUUAUUAAUUAUCCACGUUUUUGGGGAUAAACCUUAUCCAAGAAGAGUGGGUGAAAUAAAAGAGGUGGAGUGUUGACUUUUCUUUAUUCUAUGACACAAGCAACCACUCCCAUACCCACUCCAUGUCAGUAUUCACCAUCAGCCCAUACCUAGUCAUUUCAUGCUACUUUUCCCACCAUUUUUCAGCCACACACUUGGUCAAGGGUAAGAAAACCCUCCUCUCUCCUCACACUUCUCUCAUUUUCUCAUUCUUCCACCAAAGAUCAAACAUAUUUUCUCUCUCACUUCCUCUCUCUAGAAAUUCGAGAUUCAAGGGCUGAUAUUAGAUUUUUCCUCCACAUUUGGUAAGUAUCUUCCUCCUACACUUAGAUAUUCUACUAUCCUUCAUCCAAAUCAUAGAUUGCUUACACAAAUAUCGUCAUAUUUGUUGUUAGCUCCUCAAAUCUUCAAGCAUCUCCCAAGUGUUCUUGAGUUGAACACUUCUUUUCUCCAUCAUCCAUCUACUGACAUCACUCAAGGUGAGUUCAUACCCCUACAUUUUCAUGUUUUCUUAAGUUUUUAGGGGGGGGGGGAUACAAGUUAAAACACCAAGAACAUAACUAAACUUUUCUAACAGCCUUCAUCAGAAAAGUUGAACUCCAUUAACGGACUGUUUUGGACAACCUAAACAUUUUAGUUUUCAAAUCUGUUUUAGAUGCAAGUAGUUCCAGUUCUUAGCUUUAAAAUUACUACUUGCACAUCUCCAUAGGAUUUUUCUAGAAUUUAUGGUGAUUUUCAGAAAACUGCCUAUCAUUUUAAACAUCAAUCCGGUCCAGUCUAUGAUUAUGGACUUUUUCACACAAGUUGGAGGUCAUUAAAAUUCAUAAUAAAAAUUACGAAUAAACUAGACUCAUUUCCCAAACUCUCAGAAUUUACGGAUUCUGAUUUGGACCUUUGAUGAUUUUUCUAUAAAUUUUCUAAGAACAGUAAAUGAAAAUAUUAACAACAGAAAAAUGCUAUCAAUUUCAUUUCAUCUUGUAACAUGUUGAGCAAGGUGUAUAUCUUUAUGUGCAAAUAUGUUCUUACAAAUAGAUGACAUUUUGACUUAGUAUAUAGUCAUACAUCAGAAAAGAAAUGGAUUUUUACCUACAAAAGAGUGGUAAUUAAUUUGUUGCUAUAAUGCAUGUUGCUUCACUUUAGUAAAAAGUACAUAUACAUAUCGGUAAACAAAAGGGUUUUUACCUUCACAUAUAUAGUAGUUAAUCAUAAUAAACACAAUUAUAACUUUUACAUUUAAACGUUUUGAAUAACUAUAAUAGGUAUGGUUUAUGUUCCAUUAACACAUCAAACACAUUUUGGAAGGUUUUAUUCCCACACAAAAAGGUUUUACACUCACGCACACCACACGUAAACUUGUUAACCUAAAUUGUGAGACAUUAUCUUUCUGUACGUCCGAGUGCGAGAUCCAAAUUCCUGGUAAUUAUAAUCAGAGUCCCUUGUAGGGAGAACGUGAUAGUUGUGUAUAGAUCUAUAUUGGGUUAGACACCCCACACCUGAGCUGUAUGCAACAGCUUGACCGGCAGGUCUGUGGUGUCAAGUGUCAUUUCAGUUUCGCGGCGCCUGAGAAACGUCGUGGCAGGUUCAUUCAGUCAUAGUAUGAUUAUAGCGGCUCACAUAGGGAGUAACAACACAUAAAGUUUACGGGGAUUUUCAUAAAUCAAAAGGGGUUUUAUGUCGAUUAAAAAUCACUUUUUAUAUCAAUAAUUACACAUAUUAUUGUAUAUUUUCAGUUUUGGUAUUUGAGACUGCACACCAUUCAUUACGGGAUUUUUCUCAAUUCAGAAAGGGUUUUACGCCAAUUUAAAACCAGUUUUAUAUCUUUAAGUAUGACAAAUACUUGCUGAUUCUCGGUCCCGACAUUUAGGACCACGUAACUUCUAUAAGGAAAAUAUUGGAUUUUCUUGGUAACACACAACUCAUUACAAAGAUCGGUUUCCAAACUCUUUAUCUCAAAAACUUAUGAACUCACCAACCUUUGUGUUGACACUUUUUUCAAAACUACUUGUAUUCUCGGGAAUUCAGCGAAACAAGAAAUCAACAGCGUUUUGAGGAUGGGACGAUAAAUCGUCAAACAGUUCAUUUUGUCAUCAUAAUGUAAUUGAUUCGAAUCAUGUAAACAUAUACUUUGGUGUAACUUUUUCAAUUAUAUUUAUGAUGGAUGUAUUAACUUUGAGCACUAUUAUACUCGUUGUUGUGAUACUAUACAUGAAGUCCUCCACCCCCGGACGUUUCCGCCAUCCUUGGUUUGGGUGUGUGACAGUUUCGUAUGUGCAUCGACUAUAGAGAACUCAACAAACUUACUGUUAAAAAUCGUUAUCCUCUACCCCACAUUGACGAUUUAUUUGAUCAACUUCAAGGAGCAAACUACUUCUCGAAGAUAGAUCUACGAUCCGGGUAUCACCAGUUACGAGUGUUAGAGGAGGAUGUUCCCAAGAUAGCCCUCCGAACUCGUUAUGGACACUACGAGUUUGUAGUGAUGCCGUUCGGAUUAACCAACGUACCAGCUGUAUUCAUGGAUCUAAAGAAUAAGGCGUUCAACACCUACGAAGAGUCUUAGAAACAUUACGAUUGGAGAAGCUCUAUGCGAAGUUCCCUAAGUGCGUGUUUUGGAUUCGAAGAGUCGAAUUCUUGGGCCACAUUGUUAGUGAAGAGGGAAUUCACGUGGACCCUUCCAAAAUAAAGGCCAUUGAUAACUGGUCAGCACCGAAGAAACCUACAGAAAUUCGUCAAUUUCUAAGUCUCGCUGGCUACUAUCGUAGGUUCAUACAGAACUUUUCUAGCAUCGCUAAGCCGCUUACUACAGUGACCUAGAAGGGAGUGGCCUUUGACUGGGAAGAGAAACAAGAGAAGGCGUUCCAAACGUUGAAGCGAGCCUUAUGCACCACGCCAAUACUAUCCCUCCCAGAAGGAAUAGAAGACUUCUUAGUCUAUUGCGAUGCAUCCAACCAAGGGAUCGGAUGUGUUCUGAUGCACGAGGUAAGUUCAUCGCCUAUGCCUUGAGACAGCUGAAGACACACGAGGUCAACUACACCACGCAUGAUCUUGAGUUAGGAGCAAUUGUGUUUGCUCUAAAGAUCUGGAGACACUAUCUGUACGGUACGAAAAGCACUAUCUUUACAGACCACAAAAGCCUUCAACACAUCUUUGAUCAGAAGGAGCUUAGCAUGAGACAACGACGGUGGGUCGAGCUACUCAAUGACUAUGAAUGCGAAAUUCAUUAUCAUCCCGGCAAGGCCAAUGUAGUAGCUGACGCCCAGAGUCGGAAAGAAUACUUUGGUCGUAGAGUCAAAUCAUUGACUAUGACUAUCAAUUCACACUUGUCCACACAAAUUAACGAGGCUCAGCUCGACGCUUUGAAACUUGAAAAUGUGUCAAGUGAAUCCCUGAGAGGGAUCGAUAAGAACUAGGAAAGUAAGGGUGGCGUAGUGUUAUAUUUCAUGGACCGAAUCUGGACACCAAAACACGGUGGCUUCAGAGACGUGGUCAUGACCGAGGCGCACAACACUCGAUAUUUCAUUCACCCAGGUUCAGAUAAGAUGUAUCUGGAUCUUAAAAAGUUAUACUGGUGGCCUAACAUGAAAGCAAAGAUUGCUACCUUCGUGAGUAAAUGCCUUACUUGUGCAAAGGUUAAGGUCGAAUACCAGAAACCAUUAGGUUUACUUCAGCAACCGGAGAUACCAUAAUGGAAAUGGGAGCGGAUUACUAUGGACUUCAUAACCAAGUUACCCAAGACAACGGGUGGAAUUGAUACCAUUUGGGUCAUCAUCGACAGAUUGACCAAAUCCGCGCAUUUUCUACCAAUCAAGGAAACUGACAAGAUGGAGAAACUAACAAGAACAUACAUUAGGGAGAUUGUACGAUUACAUGGUGUUCCCAUAUCCAUUAUCUCCGAUAGAGAUAGUAGAUUCACUUCCAGGUUCUGGAAGUCGCUACAAAGUUCCCUAGGAACGAGGUUGGACAUGAGUACAUCCUACCAUCCACAGACCGGCAGACAUAGUGAGAGGACUAUCCAAACCUUGGAAGAUAUGUUGAGAGCCUGUGUGAUUCACUUUAGGAAGGCAUGGGAUACUCAUUUACCCCUUGUUGAUUUUUCCUACAACAAUAGUUACCACACGAGCAUAAAGGCUGCUCCAUUCGAAGCCCUCUAUGGCCGGAAGUGCAGAUUCCCUCUGUGCUGAGCUGAGGUGGGUGAUGCCCAGUUAGCUAAAGGACAAGUUCCUGACAGCACUCUCAUGUGUCAAGAAAUCAUACGGGAAAUGACAAAGAAGAUCGUUCAUAUUCGUGAACGAUUGAAAGUCUCUAGAGACCGUCAGAAAAGCUACGCAGAUAAGCGAAGGAAACCUUUGGAAUUCCAGGUGGGAAACCGAGUCCUUUUGAAAGUCUCACCCUGGAAGGGCUUGAUAUGCUUCAGAAAGCGUGGAAAGCUAAAUCCAAGAUACGUAGGGACUUUCGAGAUUCUUGCUAGAAUUGGCCAUGUAGCUUACAAACUCAAUCUACCGCAUGAACUCAGUAACGUACAUCUUACUUUCCACGUCUCGAACUUGAAAAAGUGUCUGUCCGACGAGACUCUUGUAAACCCACUCAACGAGAUCGAGAUCAACGAGAGCCUCAAAUUCGUGGAAGAACCUGUAGAGAUCAUGGACCGAGAGGUCAAGCAAACGAAACAAAUCCAUAUCUCGAUAGUGAAGGUUCGUUGGAACGCCAAGCGAGGGCCUGAAUUAAUUUGGGAGCGCGAGGAUCAAAUGAAACUGAAAUAUCCUCGCCUUUUUACUUAGUUAUUUGUAACUACUUAUUUGCUUAAACUCUAAUUUCGGUACGAAAUUCCCUCUAACGGGGGGAUGAUGUGACAACUCGAAAUUUUUAUCUUAUAUCAAACCCUGCAUUCAAUCAAAGUCAAACUUUCAGUUGCUAAAUUUUAGCAGUUUUGGAGUCGGUUUGGAGUUUUGAUCUCAAAUCCAUCAAAGGUAAUCAUAGGAAGUAUGCUCUAGGGUUAAUUGCACAACACUUAAGUCUCAAAACUCCAAGAGUUUGGAGUUUACGGCCCUAACAUAGAGUUUACCGCCAUAAACUCUAGGGUAUAAAGGUGAAACUUAGCCAUUUUUGUCAUUUUUAACCAUUUUCCAGUCCUUAACCUCAUUCUCUCUCAAGUAUCUUCACUAGAUCUUCAACUUAGUAAGUGUUUUCUUCCUUGAUUAGUUAAUAAACUUCAUUAUCUAGUGUUUGUGAAUGAUUUCAUCCAUUAUAUCUCUUCAUUUGAUAGAUAAUCAAGUGUUCUUCAUUUCACCAAGAACACCAAGAACAUACACUAGUGUUCUUGAGCCUUAAGCACUCUUUCAAGCUUCUACACUGUAAGUACUCUUGUCCUAGCUAGUUCUAUGCUUAAAUCAACUAGAUUACACUUAGAAUUCAUCAAGAAAUCAUGAUUAAAAGGGAGUUUAUGGCCAAGGAACCUCCUUAGGCCGUAAACUCUAUUUAAGGGUCAGAAUGAGCCCUAAUCUCUUGUCAAGGCUUAAGAUCAAGUCUAGAACACUUCUAUCAUAAGCUAGCAACCUUAAACUUUCAUUUGAUACAAGAUACCAUGAGUUUACGGCCAUAAACUCAUGGGGAAAUGGUCCUUAGGCCGUGAACACUAGUUAGUGGUGCAAUGGUGCCACCAUUCCUUCCUAGGGCUUAGACUUGAUCAUAGUGUUGGGUUUUGAGCAUUCUAACACUCCGAAGUGUACAUGCAACCAUAAAUACCUUGGGUCUAUGUUUUCUCUAUUAUACAUGCAAAUAUGAACUUUCCAAGGUAUUCAUCCUAACUAGCAUAAUAACAUUGAUUCAUAUGAAUAUAUCAAGUUAGAAUUACAUACCUCUUUGAUGUAGAAUGUCUUCAUGAAGCUUGAGUGCCUAGUACCCCAAGUGUGACACCUCAAAUGGUUCACACAACACCAAAUACACUUGGAAUAGAUUAGAGAGAAAUCCACACUUCAUAAAAUCGGCUAGCCCUUUCACAUACAUUCUAGUGCCGAUUUUGUCACCAAUAAGAUCUUUAUAUAGUGCCACAAUUAGGGUAAACCCUAAUUGUCAUGGCUUUCCAUUUCAUUGGAUCCAUGGUUGAAAUACACCAUGGAGCAUCCUAUGAGUUUUAGCCCAACUUGAUAAUCCAUGGAGCAUUAGCCCACUGUACAAGUAUGUAUGGUUUACACAAUCAACCCAUAUAUUUAAUUAGUCUUCUUUUGAUCACUUAAUUAAUCCUAGAUUAAUUCUUGAUCAAUACUAUUAAAUUAAUCUUAUCAAUAUAUUAGAACUUAUAAUAUAUUAACAAACCUUAAGUGUUAUUUCUCUCAUUAUAUUCUAUCCAAAUGCAUGAUGCCAUGCAACCCAAAUGGACCAUGCCGGGUCGGGUCAAGUCUUACCAAUUAUAGUUAUGGACUUCGACAUUAAUCCAACACAUAGAACACUUCAUAUGGACUUAUAUGACCUUAAAUCACAACUUGGCACUUAGUACCAUGAGUUUAUUGCCGUAAACUCAUAAGGAAAUGGUCCUUGGGCUGUAAACUCAUGUGGUUCAUACCAUAUGGACCAUAAACUCCCAAGUGAGGCCGUACACCCCUUAUAUGCAAUCCUAAGUGGUUUAUACUUCAAUACAAGUGUUUCCUAUUCCCUAAGGUUGUUCAAUUACCUACUUAGUUGUUAUAAACACUAAUUGUAAGCAUAUAUGUGUCAUUAUAUGUUAAAUAGGAUCCGUGUGUGCACAAGUCCUCACUUGACACUUAGCAUCCUUUACCGAUCUUGCAUUCGCAUCACUCACCUCAGGUGAUUUCAUACCCCUUAAAAUUAUCUUUUAAAUGAUUUUAAAUGCUUUUAGGGGGGGGGGGGNNNNNNNNNNNNNNNNNNNNNNNNNNNNNNNNNNNNNNNNNNNNNNNNNNGUUUUAUAAACUGACAUCAAGUCAUUAUUUAUUUAUUGUUCAAAACUCUUUAAAUGUAUUACAAAACCUCUUUUUAACUUAUAUAUACUGUCAAAAGCAUGUAUAUAUAUAUAUAUAUAUAUAUAUAUAUAUAUAGCUAUAUACAUAAUGUUUAAAGGGAUUAGGACUGCUAGCUCACUUUAUUUCCUUUUCCUUGUUUGGAUGUGGACUUAGGGUACCGGCCAGUUGUCCGAAGGUCAUCUAAAUAUUAGAUAUAUAUUAUGUAUACCUAUGUAGACAUAACAGUUCUAUUCAAUCAGUUCGGUACCUUUGGGUAGCAAGGAUGUACAUUCAUCUAUUCAUAUACAUAACUUACUAGUAAACUAUAAUAGGUAUAGUAUAGGAGAAUACUAUCAUAUACAAGUGUUAUAACAGAGAAUACUGUAACAGAGAAUACUAGACAGAGAAUACUAUAACAGAGAAUACUAUACAAAGGAUAUUAUACACAGAAUACUAUACAUAGAAUACUAUUACUAUAACAAGAUUCAGAGAUAACAUAAUGUGAGAUACUACUUCGUGACACAUCGACAGUUUCGUUAUCUCUCAUUUUGUAACCAGAAUCUCCUGGAGGGAGAGCGGGAGUUUGCGUAUAGAUCUAUACUUGAUUGACUAUCCUACACCUUUGUUGUUCGCUACAGUGGGACUUGCAAGUCUACGGGUGCCAAAUGUAAUUUCUUCCGACGUCUUUCAUCAUCGUGUUAUAGUCAGAUUAGUAUGGUAACAAUCAUAUCCCAUUUUGCAGUACACAUAUACAUUUUCAGUUUAUAUUCAAAUUGUGAUCUUCUCACAUAAAGGGUAUUAUAAAACAAUAUUUUGGUAAUGAUAGUCAUACUUGGGAAAAGCUUUCACUUUUACAAAGAGACAAACAUACAAAACAGUUGGGUCUUGGUAGAAGACUACUUUUUAUACUAGUGGAAAAUAUAGGAUUUUCUAGGAGUUUUCAAACAUAUACUAACAUUUACAUUGUUCAAUUACAAACAUUUCAUCAAACUUAUACAAACAUUGACACUAAAUACUUAUGAACUCACCAGCUUUAAUGCUGAUAUAUGCUUUCAAAAUAUCAGGUCACUAAUAGACAGGUACCGAUGAUCAGGUUUUGAGAAGACGAAGCAUCUUCAAGACUCGUAUUUUAUUUUGAUUAUUCUUUUUGGUGUCUUAUUACUAUUAUAGAAGACACUUGUAUGGAAGUAUACUAUUAAUGCAAUGGAUGAUGUUGUUUCUUAUUUACUACUUUGCAUUGUUAUGAUACUGUACAUGACGUCCUCCGCCCCAAAAUGUUUCCGCCGUUCUUAGUUUUGGGGUGUGACACUAUCUAACUCUAUUAAGUUCCUAAUUGUUGAUUCUUAAUACAUGAUGUGACAAGGUUGCAUUUUGAUGUUUUGUAUGAUCAUGCAAUAGGAAGGAAGCUUAAAGGAAGAGUAUGAUGAAUCUGGUCGCGAAGAUGGAUUUCAAUCGCAUGGUUCGAUGAUCGGAUUUUUGAGAUGCUGCUUAAAGAGUUAUGAUAGAUUGCUUAGAAAUAUGUAGUAACAUAGUUUUCAUUUGUAAUUGCAUUGUAAGGAAAAGUUUUUCCGUAAUUUUAAAAAUAAAUAAAAUUUUGUUUUGUUUUAUUAUAUCUCCUUGCAAUGACAUUGGUGAAAAUUGAUGUUUGUAUGUUUCUAUGUUAGCAAUAUGAAUUUGAUUUCUUUGUUUGUGGUAGUGUCGAGAAUUUGCCAAAUAAGGAAAGAUUCUCAUCACCCAAGUUUCAGUUGGAUAGAAAAUUGGAAUCAUGCAACUUGUAUUGUAUGAUGAAUGAGAACUUUCGUCUUUGGGAAAUUAAGACUAAUUGCUUGUUCACAUGUAUAUGUGAGUCAAGUAAAGCACUAGUGGAUCGGGUACACUGGGUGUGCGCUGGUCAAGUCCACCACAAUAGGGAUAUUCGUCAUGAUUUACUAAAGUUUAGUUAAUAUGGUUAUGCUUACAAGUUUAAGUAUAAAUCUGAAUCAUUGGAAAAAGUUCAAUGUCUAACAAAACGAAUGAGAAGAAUCAAAUUAGGCAGAAAGAUAAAAGUUUCUCCAAUCUGAAAGGAUGAGAGAGUACUUUAGUAUCGUGUUUUAUGAUUAUCUUAAUGAUUGUGAAAGACCAUAUCACAAUUGAUCCUCUAAAGAUACCUUAGUGCACUUGUAUGGCUAAGAAGAGGAAUCGUGAAUUGUUGAAAUGGUUAAAUCAAAAGGUGAAUCAUACUUCGUUCCAAGAACAAGUCUUAGAGUCAUACUCCAAGAUUGUGCCUUAAGUGACAUAAUAUUAAGAAAGGUUUAUAAAACUUAUCAAAUGUAGAGUAAAAAUGUUUUCUACUCUACUACAUUUGAAAUUGGUAAGUAGUAAUGUUUUGGAUAAAACAACGACCAACUAAGGCCAAUUAUGUGAAGUGUCAUUCUUGAUGAGAAUCCAAACUAACUCUUGAAUAUUUGUUUGUCAAGGAAUAGUUCUUGACAAGAGAGUCUUAUAUGUCAAGAGGUCAAUGGGAGUCUUAAGGAUCUUGACAAGUUUCAAGAACUAAUCAAGAAUAAAACCCAUUGUUUAUCGCUAGCACAUGACUUGAGGUUUGUAACCUAUUGUGUUGGCAUAUUCUUGUUUUGAUGCCCAUUCCAGUUAAAGUUGACUAUUUAUGUGAGUUCUAUGAGUUCUCAAUUGUUUGCAUAACAACUUGGAAGCAAUAGUAGGCCCUUAUGCUGCCAGGUGGCAAGAAAUUAAGUGGACAAGUUCAGUUCAUAUGAAUUUGGAUUUGUCACUAACCUUGUCUUGUGAUUAUGGUUAUGACAAAUUUACAUGGAUAGGAACACAUACACCAUAAAAAUCUAAGUUUCAUAGGGUUUCUCUCCAAUUCAUGAAAAUGAUUGUGAGAAAAUGCUUUUGCUAAAAAGGUUUUAAGGAGAUAGCAAUUAUGGUAUUUGCAUUCUCAAAUUCGAUUAUGAUUACGACAUCCCUAUCCAUAAUUCGAAUUGUGAGAAAUGGAAAAAGUUCUAAACAUUUGAGAUUUAUUGUUGUAAGUUCUAAAAUUGUUUAGACACACAUGUGAGCUAUAUAAGGAAAGGUGUAUGAUUUUGAGAAGCCUAGAUAAAGUCUUAGUAAAGUUAUCUCGUAUCAGAAAUCUGAACUUUGGUAAUGAAAGUCAAUGAGUAUUGAUUUCUAAAUGUCCAGCUGAUUUAUGGGUAGAUGUCAAAGCUAGUGGGAGCAUAAAUGUUAUGCUAGUAAAAGUAAUGAUUAUUAUGCUAGUGGGAGCAUAAUCAAUUAUGAUGAAUGUUGCAAGUUAGCAAUGUUAAUUAUAGAAAACAAAAGUUUCAAUUCGCAAGUUAUAGGGUUUGAAAAGUUGUUUUGCUAUAAUUAAGGGAGAGAAAUUCAUACUUCAUUUCAAAUCUAAAAGCUUAGAUUGAGAUUUUAAUCAGAUUUANAUAUAUAUAUAUAUAUAUGAAUGUUAUGUUGGAAUGGUUCAACAUAAGGAAAUUCAAUAUAUGGAUGUAUUAAUUGCGUUCUCAAAAUUCGACUAUGAUUACGACAUCCCUUUUCAUAAUUAAAAUGAUAAGAACAUGGCAAAUAUAAAUUUUAUAGCAAAAUACUGGUCAAGUAUCAUGUCUUUAUGUAAGACAUCAUGAAUCGUGUCCUAUAUGCUUCGGGUAUAAGAUCGAUUACAUGUGCUAUAAUAUUCAUCCGUUCUAGAUAUUUUCCAAAUUCCUAGGGCAUUAAGAGGGAAAAAAGAUAGAACCUGAUAUGACUAAGGUGGUUAAAAAACUGUUAAAGGACAAUCUAAGGUUCACCGAUGAUUGGUCACUUAAGGGCAGUUGGAAGUAUAGUAAUGGAUGGAAAAUAUCGACAUUAUUAUAAAUCGAAAGUAUUUUAUUAAUAAUGGGUUGUCAUAUGGCAAAUGCAGAAUGUUUUCAUAUUGGGUGUUGGAUAUUAGUAAUCUGUGGUUAGAAACUUUUAUGCAAGAAGGAUGUUCAAAGGAAUGUACUUUGAAUUUGAGACUUCGCUUCCAUGGAAUUGUCUUGUAACAAUCUCCAAAGGAAUACUUUGUAAUGUCGCUGGUCAAGUCUCCAUGACUUUUGGUACCUAGACAUUACAAAGGAAUCAUUGCAUGAUAGUUUAGAAUCUAACACAUUCUGGCAGUGACAAGAAUUUGAAAUUCCUACACUAGUGAUAAAGAUUUGGAAUUGUGAAAUGAGUUUCAUUGAAGAUGUGUUCAAUUGAUAUAUUUCACAAAUUAAGGACCAUAGACAAACAUAGUAUGCAUGACUGUUUUGACUUCCCGAAUAACUAGGUUAUUCAAACCAUCCAUAGUCGAUCAUACUUUGGAAGUAGGUAUUUAGGCAAGACUGUCAUGAAUGCGUCUGUAGUUGGUCUAGGUGUUUUAGACAUAGCUGUAGUGUUCAUAAGUACUCUUGGAAUAGGAUUCGAGUAUUAGAUUCAACCCACGCUCAUUUAAAUCAUUUCAUGGAUUUUAUCACGAGUGAUCACUAGUCGAUAAUAUCUUAUAUUCUUGAAAUGGAGAGAUAUGAGUUGCAGUCUACAAGUCGGUUGCACAUUGAUGAUAUGUAAACAUACUGGGAACUUGGUGUCAUAAAACAUAUCGUUGUGUGUGAUUUGAUGAUUAGAUAGAGCAAGCAUACGAGUCGAAGUUUAUUCAUUCCUUUUACCCUUGGAUAGAUGAAAGCGAUAUCUAUGGGCCCCUCGAUGAUUUAGUGAUGACACCCCUAAGUGCUUGGCCAAGCCUAGACUGAUUUGAUUUGUUCAAUUUGUCGGUCGUCAUAAAUCAGAAAUCGGGAAACAACAGAUGGACAGAGAGAAUGAUUAUAAUCCAUGUCUCAAUCCAUAUGAUAUCUUGUAGAAUGGAGGAAUAUAUAAUCCCUUAUCUAAUGGACGCGUUAUUGACUAGGUCAGAGUUCGACAGUGGCUUUUAAGAGCUACAAUUGCUAGUCGGGAUUUUGGAGUCGUACUUUCUGUAGGGUUCAAAGUACUCCAUGGAUUAUGAAAAUGGGCCCCCUUCAUAGAGUGUAGGUUAUUAGGCCCGAGACUUGUUUUAUUCCCUAUAUAUUGUCAUGCAUUAUUCAUUAUCGGGAUUAAGAGUGAGGGAAAAUGUAGCCGCCAAACAUAAUGAGGUUUCUUAGGUAAAGUAGAUUUACUUUAAUAUGUUCUUAUAGUGUAAUUUAUUCCUCGUAUUGUUAAAUAAAUCAUUUGAUCAUUCAACAUGUCUUCAUUAUUGUGUUUGUUCUUAUUUUCCACAUUAUGUUCUUCAAAUGGUUUUUAGGGUUUUGACCCAUUCGUUCACUGUUCAUUGAUUGUUCCUAUAUUUCCUUUUGAAAUCACAAAAUCUGGGAAAUCAAAUUUUUUUUAUGAGUUUAACUUCAUGGCCAUUGAAUACUCUUUUGUUCUACUGUAUCUUACAAUUCUCGAUUUCUAUUUAAUUUUGGUCUUGCUCUUGAGUUUUGGUCUUCAAAUCGAUUUUGAUUGACCUGAUCGAUUUUGUUCUCGUGUACGGUUUGACCCAAUUGAUGAUUGAUAAUGAUUUUUAUUUAAUGAGAAUCAUCUCUUGUUAUCUGUAUGAUCGUUUGAGAUUUUGGGUCUACAAUUUUCAUUCGAUGUUAACUGGGGAAUCAUGUUGAUGAACUGAUUAUUUGAAGGAUCGAUAAAGAAUGGAUAAAGAACGAUGAACAUAACUGGGUUUUGAUUUAAAUGGUCAGUAUUGUACAGGAUGGUCUCACCUGUGAAUAUAAUCGAAAACGGAGGCUUUAUCGGAAUGACUAUGAUCAGUGUGUUUGAGGUUCUGAACACAAACCUUGUUCGCAAUUGUUAGUUAAUUUUGGGAAUUGAAGUGUAGGUCUUGGAAUCAUUAUUAGCAUAUCGUUUGGAAGGAUCAUUCGGAAUCGAAACACAAAUAAGAAGCUAUGCAAUCAGAAUUAUUUGAUUCAGAAUGAAUUGUUGCUCGCAAUCGGAAGUGUGAUGUUGGAUCGAUUCCGAACGAAUGGAAUCAGAUUUGGAACUCAAAUCCCAAUCGAAAUUGAAAUUCUAGACUCGGAUUCGUAACAACCACAAACAUCAAAAAGUGAACCUGUGCUCGGAACGAAGGUUUGAUCGGAGUUGUUUGUUGUUUGGAUUUGGAGUUCAUGUUAUGCGUCACGAGUGGAUUUGAGUCGAUGUUGCUAUCCGUUCGUUUACCAAAGGGCUAAUGGGGAAGAUGACUUCGAUUUACAUUCUUGGUCCCUGUAACUUCAGCAAUAUGACAGUUUUAGUCUCAUUUUCUAAAUUUUUACAAAUAUUGGGGAAAAUGAUGUUGUUUUACCAUUUCCGUCCCCUAUCUUUCAGCCAUGUGACAGUUUCUGCCCAAUAUUCAGAAUUAUUUGCAAAUUUAAGGGUUGAUGAACAUACUUGGGUUUUUAAUGCACAUAUUUUUUUCGUGAAUUGAAAAUUAUGGAUUCCAACAUGUCUUGGAAGUUCAGAAGGUCGGUUUUCAUGACAACGUUAAAUUUUUUCAACUAUUUUGGAUUUUAAACUUCCUUGUUUAUUUCAUUUUGUUGCAGGGGAGAAAAGUAUUUGUUUAUCCUUUCAAGAUCAUAAAAAGGGAAGAAUUUGAUAUGGCCAUUCGAAAUUGGAUUUGUGACUUUUCAAAUUUGAAGAUUUUUUUAUGAAGCUUGUGAUUGGUGCUGAUAGGAAGGUAGCUUUUACCGAAAAGUUCAAGAGGAACUCUUCUAAAGCUUUUACAGAAAAUUUCAAGAAGAAUUCUUCUAAAGCUUUGAUAUAUCUCCGACUUUUAGUGAUUACUUGAUCAAGUGACGUUACGAAUCUUAACUUUGGGUUGUUACAUGAUAUUUUUUGGUGGCUUAUAUCAUUGGCUUAUUUGAAGAUCAUUAUGACUUGGAGGGGCAGUUCUUCAAAGACAAGAAGUGAUUUUGGUUCUUAAUUCCAAAAUGGGAUUACAUUAUAAAAUGAAGUUCUUUGGGGGGGGGGGGUUGGCUUUCUUGAAGAUCUUUGAGAUUACAUUAUAAAAUGAAGUUUAAAAACAUUACUUCAAUGCUUGGUUUAUAUAUCCUAGAACCCGUUUUUGAAGACUACUGAAGAAUCAAGAUUUGUGGAUCACAUUUGAGAUUCCUCGUUGCGAGAUCCUUUCUUAUUUAGUAGAUGCUUGUUUUGGAAGUUGAAGCCUUGUCAUUCCUUCCAUACUUUCAGGGGGAGAAUGUAGGGUUCAAAGUACUCCAUGGAUUAUGACAAUGGGCCCCCUUCAUAAAGUGUAGGUUAUUAGGCCCAAGACUUGUUUUAUUCCCUAUAUAUAGUCAUGUAUUAUUCAUUAUUAGGGUUAAGAGUGAGGCAAAAUGUAGCCGCCACGUUGUGAGGUUUUAAUGUAGUGUUAGAUUCUUUAGUCUAUGCUGAAAGUUUAAUUUAUUCCUCAUGUUUGAAUAAAUCGAGUGGUCACUCGACUUAAUCUUCAUAUUUGUGUUUGUUCCUAUUUUCCACAUCUUUUUCAUCAAAUCUCAAUUAGGGUUUUAAUCCUAGCACUUUCAAUUAUAGCUAUUAGACUUAUCCAAGUGGGAGACUGUUGGAUUAGGUGUCUAAGCCUAUAACUAUUAUUGGUAUGUACUUCACCCGAGAGUAGCAUGGUCUAUUUAGGUUGCAUAUCAUCCGAAAUAUUUGAUAGGAUGGACUUUUUAGAAAAGGGUAUUUAUGGUUUAUUAAUAUAUUAUAAGCUCUAAUAUAUUAAUAUGAAAUCAUAUUAUUUAAUUAGUAUUGAUUAAGAAUCAAUUUGGAAUUAAUUAUGUGAUCAAAAGAGACUAAUAAAAAGCCCCUAGCUCAUGAAAUCGGCUACACAUGUGUUCUUUGGAAGAGCUAGCCGAAUUUGAGUGCAAGACACCUUCUCUCAAGUUAUAUUUUGUCCUAGAUGUAUUGUGAUUCCAUUUGAGGCAUUCACAUUAUUGGUGCUAAGUUCUUAAAGGUCCAAGGUCUCCAGCUACAGCAAAAGGUAUGUCAUCUAACUAGAAUUUUGUAGUAAAGAUACUCCAUUGUAUGCUAGUUAGGAUGAUGCUUUGGAAAAAUAAAGUUUGCAUGUAUAUUAGAGAAAACAUAGAUCCAAAGCAUCUAGGGUUGCAUGUACACCAUAGGAGUGUUAGAAUGCUUAAAACCCAUCACUUAUCUCUGACUCACAUCUGGUAGUAGCCUGAACGCAAAUCUAUCUUGGAAAGGCAAGAUGCCCCCUGUAGCUGGUCGAAGAGAUCGUCAAUCCUCGGGAGUGGGUAACGGUUCUUCACUGUUACGUUGUUCAGCUCUAGGUAAUCUAUACACAUACGAUACGACCCAUUCUUCUUCUUCACAAACACGAUCAGGGCUCCCCAAGGUGAACUGCUCGGCCUGAUAAGUUCCUUGUCUAACAGCUCAUGCAGCUGUAUAGACAACUCCUGCAUAUCGAGAGGAGCCAACCGAUAUGGUGCCUUGGCUAUCGGAGCCGUACCAUGGAUUAGGUCGAUCCUGAACUCCACCUGUCUCUCCAGAGGUAUCCCAGGAAACUCCUCUGGAAAUACUUCCGGGUAGUCUCGAACCACUAGCACAUCUCUCACUAUCCCCUCACCCGCCUCCCGGGUAUCCAUAAUGUAGGUGAAAUACCCUGCGCAACCCUACUGAAGGUAACGCCUAACCCUCGCUGCUGAGCACAAAGCAAGUCCUCGAUGUGUCCUCUCACCCUGAAUCACCAACUCUCCCCCACUUCGGGUUUUGAAACGCACCAGCUGUUGCACACAGUCGAUCACCUCCCCAUUAGGGCUCAACCAAUCCAUGUCGAUGAUGACCUUGUUUCCACGCCAAGGGAUGUGAACCAAAUCCAUGAGGUACCGCUUGUCAUACAUCCUCAUAACACAAUCUAUGUAGACCUCCGAUGCCCGAACAGAUUGGUCAUCAUAAAUCUCGACCUCUAAGGGACAAUCCCAACAUGCCCAAAGACUCAGAAAACCUCUUUCUAAUUGCAAGAGAUACAAAUGAUCGGGUAGCCCUCGAGUCGAAUAACACCUGUAUUGGGAUACCGUUCACAGGGAACGAUCCUAAGCAAAACACAUAAAACAUAGAAGAUAAAUAUCAUAACCGACAUGUAAUAAGAGUUAGGGAAAACAAAACGUACCUGUCACCACAUCCAGUGUGACACGUGCCUCCUCGGUGGUCAACUGGAAGGCUCGACUCCUCACCACUAGAGCCUCUGGCUUGCCCUGUCGGACAUCCGUGAUCUGCAGGGUCAUUGGAGCUUGCGCCACCACUGGCACUACUGAUACCAAUCUCGGGCAGUUGGACUUUUUAUGGCCCUUUUGAUUGUAUUGAAAGAAAAUCAAGUCUGGUGUAUGAAAGAAGGGACUAUCGGCAGUACAAUCCUUGCCAAAGUGCCCAGUCUUGCCGCACUUAUAGAAGCCCGAUCCCCCAGUUCUAUAAAUCCCCUCGUGUGGCUUGCCGCACUUCCCACAACAGCUCUGGCCCUGUUGGCCCUUCGACCUAGAGUCGAAUCCCUUGGAUUUCAUCCCCGAAACCCCAGUAACCUACCCAGUCCCCUCCUUCCUCUUUCUGAUGUGCUCUAUGUCGAUCUCCCUCUCCAUUACCUUCGCUAUCAUGUCAUCCAAGGUCGGGCAUGCCGAGUAGCUGACAUGUUUCCGGAUGUCGGCCCUCAACAUGACGUGGUAUCGGGUCUUCCUCAUCUCCUCAUCCCCCGCGUACUGAGGCACCAGUAAAACGCUCUCUCUGAACUUGGCGGUAAUCUAUGCCAUCGUCUCAGUAGUCUGCCUCAUAUCCAGAAACUCCAUGGCCAGCUGCUGAAGCUCCACAACCAGUGCAAACUCAACCCUAAACCUAGUCACAAAGUCCGACCAGGCCAUAGCGUCUAUGGUUGGGGCUCCCAACGAAUCACUGAUCGCCUCCCUAAAAUCUCUUGCUCUGUCUCUCAAACAUCCCGCAGUAUACCGGACCUUCGACCCCUUAGGGCAGAAGCUCAUCAACUGUGUACAAUCAAUGUCUGCAAUCCAUCUCCUGACCAUAAUGGGGUCCUUUACCUCGCAGGAGAGUGUAUGCGUCCCUGACUGGCCAGAUGCCAUGUCACUUUGGAAUGCCCUUAGUCGAUCCUCCAUCAGUUCAAUGAUCCAUUCCUUGAUCGACCCGAAAAUCACCGGGGUAUCCUCUAGAAUGCCUCUCGUAAUCUCAGAUGUGAUGAACUCGCGUAGUCCGUCAUCAACCGGCUUGGAACCUGCACCCGAACCUGAACCUGAACAUGAUCCAGAACCUGAACCUCCUUCUCCAUGACGUGUCACCACCAUUAUGAAACAAAACACAUAAUCCUCAGGGUUAUACAUAACCUCGAGAGGUCUCACACACUCUACAAAUUUCCUAAUUCUAUCUCAACCCUCCUUGACUCGAGUACGGAUCCUCUACUUUCAGUAGUACGGGCCCAUACUGUAACACUAGUCAAAAUAGGUUAAUAAUAAUCACAUGUGAUUAUGCCAAUCAUGUAAUGUGAUAAAUGUACCAUGUAUUUCAUGAUAAAUUUUAAUAUAAAUAUGAACUUUAUUUAUGAUACCACUCAAAGUAUACAUCCAUACGAUUCCAAAAAUAUAGAGAACAUCUGAAUCUGACUUUGCAUGAAGAAGUUAUGAUAAGCUGAACACUAUAAAUCUCUAUAAUAAGAGGAAUUUAAAAUAGACUUAGAAUUAGCUAUUAGAGUCUAAAAGAGAGUUGUAGUACUUGUGAAUACCUACGCGUGCAUAUAAAGAACGUCAAAAACGGAGUUCGUAUGCAAAAGUUAUGACCUUCCAAAGAUGAAGAUAUCUGAGAGCAUGACACGUGGCAGGAAACCCUAGUUGUCUGGAUUCACGACGUGAACCAUAAAGUCACGAUGUGAAAGUAGUCCAUGACACAUUUUCGGAUCUAGAAGGUGGGUAAUGAGGCUACGAAGGGGAUAAGUUCAAUCCCCACGACUUGGACAUCAAAUUCUUGACGUGUAACUGGAAUUGUGACACCUUCUGAAGCUAGGAACGCAAAUGGCAAGUCUACGAGGAUAAGAUCCAAAGUCCCGACCUGGGGGUCCAAAAUCCCUACUAUAAAUAGCAGGUCCGACUUCAGUCAUUCUUACACCAAAACUUCUUUCUCCUCUCUCCUUUGCUGGAGCCAUCUUGCAUCCCGAGCCCCGACGACCUUGUACGCUGACCGGUUCUGCUUAGACUACAUAAAAUCAUGCUACUAGGGUGAGUUUCACGGCCCCACUUUCUAAUAUUUUCGGGGGAAAACGCAUGCUAAAUAUUGUAUACACGAUGAUAUUAUGUCUAUAUAAUAGUGUACUAAUAUCAACAUAGACAGUUAUAUUAACUGGGAUAUAGUUGUUCUAAAUAUGUGACAACCCGAAAUUUUAUUUGUAUAAACUCCGCAAUUAAGCAAUCCAAAAAUUAACCAAAUUUAUUACAAAACAUUUUUGGCCGGAUUUAAUCCCGUUGGAAUAUUUUAAAUAAUAUUCGUCAAGCAAACCAAAAAUAAGGAAGUAUAAAUUUAGAGUUGUCGUGUUUAACGUAAGUCGUGAAACUCCAAAAAUUUGGAGUUUACGAGAGAAAACUCAGAGUUUACGACCGUAAACCCCCGAGAGUAUAAAUAUGACACUUAGUCAUUUUCUCUCAUUUUUCCAACUUCCACCUCAAGAACGCUCAAGAAAUCCUUUCAAGUAUCAUAUUUCUUUUCCGUCAAAUCCGCCAAAACAUAAGUUUUUAUUGCCAAGAUUCGUUCAUAUAACACUUAAUCUACUGUUUUUACAUCACUUCAUCCAUGGAUUUUUGAUUUUAGCUUAGAUCUUCAAGUGUUCUUCAAGAACACCAAGAACACACACUAGUGUUCUUGGCCAAAAACGAUCAUCCAAGCUCCUAGAACGUAAGUACACUUGCCGUAGAUUCUUGUGUGCUUAGUAUGAACAUGUUUACACUCGAAAAUCAUCAUUUCUCCAUGUUCAUAUGAGUUUACGGUUUGGGGAGGCCUCCCAAAACCGUAAACACCUCUAAAGGGUGUUUAAGUGCCCUUAACACCUUCCUAUGAUCGUAUAAGUGACUAGAACCUUGCAUGCAUGAGUUAGAACCACCAAAACACAAGAGAAAUGGACAAACAUGAGUUUACGGUCGUAAACACCCAAGGGAGUGGUCCAAGGACCGUAAACUCCAUAAAGUGUCCAUUUUAAGCCCUAGUCAUUUCCAUAACGUUAGAUUCGAGUCUAGCAUAAUUCCUUGAGUGUGAUAAGACCUUUAAACACCCCAUGACACCUCUACCAUGAGUUUACAGCUGUAAACUCAUGGGGGUUAUGGUCCAGAAACCAUAAACACCCCUAAGGGCCAUCAUUUGAAGAGUAAACUCCAAUGUGAGUCCAUACACUCUUCAUAUGCAACCCUUGGUACUCCUAACACUUGCAGCAAAGUGUUUUCAUGUAUUAGGACAUCAUUACUUGCUUAAUUAGCUAUUAAAUGACUAAUUUGAUACAUAAAUGUAUCAUUACAUGAUAAAUAGGAUUCGCGUGUGUGGUCAAGUCCUCAUUUGACACUUAGCAUCCUAUACCGUCUGUUCAUCAGGAUCACCCACGUCAGGUGAGUUAAUACCCUUGAAUCAACCUUUUAAAUGAUAUUAAAUGCUUUUAUGAGGGGNNNNNNGGGGGGGAAUACAAGUUGAAGUAUAGAGUUAUUAGAUCAAUCACAUGUGAUUAAUAACUGUAUAGCAAAAUAGAUUUUGCUUGUUAAGUUGCUUUAUUCAGCUAAAGGUUUUUGACUCUCAUUUUCAAAUCUCGUUUAAGGCAUGAAUAUCUCUUUUUAGAUUAUUAAAGAUUUUCCAAAGAUUUUCAAAUACUUUUUUAUGAACUGACAUCAAGUCAUAAGUUCUUAUUGAUAGAUUUUCCAAAGGUUUUACGAAAAGUUCUUUUAUGCUUGUAUAUGGUAAAGUGCAUGCCUAUAUAUGUAUAGUUAUAUAAGCAAUGUUUGAAGGACUUAGGAAAGCUAACUUCGCUUAAAUUCCUUUUCUUUGUUUGGAUGUGGUUUAGAGUAUCGGUUAUCCGUCCGAAGGUCAUCUAAACAUUGGUUAUAUAUCAUGUAUACAUAUGUAGUCAUAAAAGUUCUCUCAGCCAGUUCAUCUUCGUUGGGUAGCAAAUGCAUCCUUCCAUUAUUCAUAUGUCUAGAACACCAGUAACUAUUAUAGGAAUAGUUAGGAGAUUCUAUUUACUCUCUCUCUCAUUCUCUCUCUCUCUGACCCUCUCUCUCUCUCUCACCCUCACUCUCUCGGUCUCUCUCUAUAAUACAAAGAAUUACUCAUGAGUCAGUUCAUUCGUGAGUCUAUACUAUUAUUAUAAUACUUUAAAUAGAAUGUGACACACUAUUUCCUGAUACGACGCUUCAUAGCGCCAUCGUCGUGUAACCAGAGUCUCUUGGAGGGAGAGCAGACAUCAUGUGUAUAGAUCUAUAUGGGAUAGACACUCCCGCAUCCUGACUGCUAGCUACAGUCCGAGUCGGUAAGGCCCAUGCAUGACAUAAUGUUACUAAGGCUAUGCGUGACCUGGAGGGUCAUCAAGGAUUCGAUCGUCAAUCAGCAUGGUUACAUACAAGUUCACAUUCGACCCUUUUAUUCCCUUUUAGACUGAGCCAGGCGUAUCGUUCAUUCGAUACCCUCCUGGAGUCUAUGUUUUAUUCACCUUUUAGACUGAGCCAGGCGUAUUGUUCAUUCGAUACCCUCCUGGAGUCUAUGUUUUAUUUCCUUUAGACUGAGCCAGGCGUAUCAUCCAUUUGAUACCCUCCUAGAGUCUAUGUUUUUAUUCACUUUUAGACUGAGCCAGACGUAUUGUUCAUUCGAUACCCUCCUGGAGUCUAUGUUUUACUCCCUUUAGACUGAGCCAGGCGUAUCAUCCAUUUGAUACCCUCCUAGAGUCUAUGUUUUUAUUCACUUUUAGACUGAGCCAGACGUAUUGUUCAUUCGAUACCCUCCUGGAGUCUAUGUUUAAUUUACUUUAGCUAGCAGUAUUUACUGCUGAAGUAUAAUAUUAUUUUCCCUUAAUAUUUUUACUUGUGGAUUUCUCACCAUUCCUUUUAACCAAAAACUAUACUUUUAUAAUGAUAGUAUUUUGGGAAAAUUACUCCUUAAAACAUAAAACCGUCGGGUCUUGGUAGAAGACUACUUUUGAUUGAGAUACUCCUUGGUUUAAAUGUAGAACAAUUGAGUCUUGGUAGAAGAUUGCUUAUAAUUAGAAAAUGUAGGAUUUUUGGAAAGAAUUCUAACACUCUGUAGAUUCUAAACCACCACUUUUUCUGAGUUUAUUUUGAGGAAAAACAUGUAUUUAUACCAAUGUCAUUAAAUACUUAUGAACUCACCAACAUUUAAAAAUGUUGAUACUCGCUUUCAAAAUAACUUGUAUUCUAAGGUCAUCGGUAGACAGGUACACUCCGGGUGCUUUUGCGAAGACAGCCUUGUACCGAGCUGCACUCCAUGUUAUCCUCUGUAUUUACUUUGAUAUUAUUGUUAAAUGUAACCUAUGUAAAUUAUUACUAUUAAUGCAAUGAUUGAUGUACUUUGAUUACUAUACUACAUAUUUUGUGAUACUUGACAUGACGUCCUCCACCCCAGAACGUUUCCGCCGUUCCGGUUUUGGGUUUGACAGAUUGGUAUCAAAGCAUUGUUUAUAGUUAGCUUAGUAUAUCUAAUCAUAAAAGAUAUACAACCUAUAAAUACACUGGGAUAAAACACUCUGACCAAGAAUUAUACUUUAAAAUAUAACCAUAUUUUACAAAAGUAUAAGAACAUCCAGAAUCUAAAUACCCGAACAAAGUAUCACAAGAAGAACCAGAAUAAAAGUCUUUGGAUGUUGACCAUUACCGUCAAACCUGGGUAGUUAUGUAAUCGUAAGCUGGAAUAAAUGUAACCUGAUCAACUACAUUUAUUCGAUAUGCGACUAACGUGUGCUUGGGAGUGAUGGUGGUGUUGAAAAAAAAUCUGAAACUUACCAAAUAGGAAUGCUAGAGCCAAACAUAAAGAUUAAAAUACUAUGGGAGUAUUUUAGGAUACUAAAGGACUCACAUUAAUCCCAUAAUCAUAUUCAGAAGUUAAAAAUCAAACAUGUAAUUAAAAUACCAUGGGGGUAUUUGUUGGGUUUUGAGCAUUCUAACACUCCUAAGUGUACAUGCAACCCUAAAUACCUUGGAUCUAUGUUUUCUCUAUUAUACAUGCAAAUAAGAACUUCCAAGGUAUUAUCCUAAUCUAGCAUACAAAACAAUGACUAUAACAAGAUAGAAUACAUACCUCUUUGAUGUAGAAAGUCUUCAUGAAGCUUGAGUGCCUAGUGCCCCAAGUGUGACACCUCAAAUGGAAUCACAAUCAUCAAAACACUUGGAAUGACUUGAGAGAAUUCUACACUCUUCAAAAUCGGCUAGCCCUUUCUUCACUAUCACUAGUGGCCGAUUUUUCCUCAAUAAUAAGAUGCUUAUAUAGUUACACAAUUAGGGUAAACUCUUAAUUGUCAUGGCUUUCCAUUUCCUUGGAUCCAUGGGUACAAAUACACCAUGGAGCAUCCAUGGACCAUCCUAUGGGUUUUAGCCCAACUUGAUUAUCCAUGGAGCAUUAGCCCACUAUACAAGUAUGGAUGAUUUACACAAUCAACCCAUAUAUUUAAUUAGUCUUCUUUUGAUCACUUAAUUAAUCCUAGAUUAAUUCUUGAUCAAUACUAAUUAAAUAAUCUUAUUAUUCUUAUUAUUAAUAUACUAGAACUUAUAAUAUAUUAAUAACCAUAAGUGUCUUAUUUCUCUCAUUAUAGUCUAUCCAAGUGCAUGAUGGUAUGCAACCCAAAUGGACCAUGCCGGGUCGGGUCAAGUCUUACCAAUUAUAGUUAUGGACUUAGACAUUAAUCCAACAGUCUCCCACUUGGAUAAGUCUAAAACUAUUAUUGCGUAUGACUUCAGGAACCAACUGGCAAUCGUAGCUCUCAAAAGCUUCUGUCGAACUCUGACCUUGUAGAUGAACUCUGACCUUUGUCAAUGACUUGUCCAUUAGAUAAGGGAUCAUAUAUUCCUCCAUUCUAGAUAUCAUAUGGACUGAGACAUGGAUUAUAAUCAUUCUCUCUGUCCAUUUGUUGUUUCCCGAUUUCCGAUUUAUGACGACUGACUAAUUGAACAAAUCAAAUCAGUCCUGGCCCGGCCGAGCACUUCCAUUUGUCAUCAUCAAAUCAUCGAGGGGCCCACAGAUAUCGCUUUUAUCCCGAAGGUAAAAGGAAUGGAUAAACUUCGACUCAUAUGGCUUGUUCUACUACUUGUUGAAUCAUACACAAAGGCACGUUUUAUAGCACCGAGUUACCAAAUGCGUUUUCGUGCAAUCAAUGUACUAUCAACUCAUAGUAACAACUCAUAUCUCUAGGUUUGAAGAAUAUAAGAUAUUAUCGUCUCAUGAUCACUCGUGAUAAAAUCCAUGAAGUGAUUCCAAUGAGCGCGGGUUGAAUCCAAUACUCAGAACUUAUGAGCACUCAUGAGUGUUGUAGCCCUUUGUCCAACACCUUAGACCUCUACAAGCCAACCCAUGACAGUCUUAAUUCAUAUCUACUUCCAACAUAUGACCGACUGUGGAUGGUUUGAAUAACUUAGUCAUUCCGGAAGAA
rnacentral:lncRNA from 1 species